GAGAAUGGUCUUCAAUCCAAAAAUACACAAAAUAAAAAAUUGUAGUCAAUCGUAAUUGAAAUACAACAUAAACAUUUGCCAUUUACAGCGAUUUAUAUUGUUGCCAAUAACAAUUGGGUUGCAAAGAAAAGGACGAAGAGAAGAGAAGAGAUCAUGUGUUGGAGAAUUACAAUACGAAAAUACAAAAAUAAUAAAUAAAAGAAAUAUUUUCUCUUCCAAGAAGAACGCACUUCAUGAUGUUAAUUUCAAAAACUACGUACUAACACAGCAUAAAUAUCACAACCUUAACUGGUUCUGAUCUUUUUGGCAGGAGUAUUUGUACCAGUGAUAACCAUAAAGAGUGAUUCGAGAUUGUCUGGAACCUUAAAAAAGCAUUGUGAUUGUGAAGGCCAUAACCUCCUAAAAUUUCUUCUGGCAGCUUGGCGAGGUUUCUUGGGUGGUGGUGGGCACACUAAUGGUGGUUGCUUCGCCAUCACGUGAGCAGCAGGUGACUUGGGUGUGUGGCAUUCUUCUUCAUGUUCCAAAUGCAAAAGCUCCUCCGCCGCGGCUGCCUCCUCCUCCUCCUCCUCCUUUGUGUUGUUUAAAGCUCGUGGAAUAGGAAUGACAACUCGCACUGGAGUUAUUGGCCUGAAUUGGUCUUCUGAUAUAUCAAGACCCAUUUUUUCUUGGGACUUGGGAGUUAGAAAAGUUUUCUUGGCUGAAACAAUUAAGCUUGCUAGGUCGUGUAAAUUAAUAAAUUGUGGCCAGAAAGGGAAAAAGAAGGCGUGCUGAGGAAAUCGAGAGGGUGUUAUGAUGGAUGGUGCUGAAGGAGAGGCAGAUAUCAACAUGAGAGAGAGAGAGAGAGAGAGAGAGAGAGAGAUUGAGGGUAUACACGAUGUGAUUGAGGGUAUACACACCACUACACGCUAAUAUGUAAACAAGACUGCACAUGGGAAUGAUGAAAAAGUAGCAACCAAAAGUGUUGGAAUACUGCGAUGCAAGACAAGGCAAUAUUAAAGAAAUAAUAAAUAUUGGAGUGUUUUUCUUCCCACCCAGCAAAUUUUGAACUUCUCAUUUCGCCCCUUAGGUUGAAGCCUAAACCUAAACAAAAAAACAAUAUCAGAUAAAUAUGCAGAACUGUCCACUGAUACCCCAACUACUUCCUACCUCCGCCUCCUGCAGAACACACUCUCUCCAUAAACGAAAUCGGACAAUGUUUUAAAUCAGUCAUGCAUAGGGAUGGGCAAUAGUUAUGGCGUGCGGGUAACCGCGAUUAUUUACCUAUAACCGUUUAUGCUCAUACUUGCAUAACCGUUGGGUAAGUGCCUAAAUGGUUAUACUCAUACUCAUACUUGUUUAUAAAUGGUUAACCAUACCCAUAACCGCAUACCCAUUAAACUGUAACCGUUUAAUACCCAUUUACCCUUUUUAACCCAUUUAUCUUUUUUUUUUACCAUUACCCCUUUUUCACUCUUCUACAUGUUUUUUAACAACUUGAAAAUUAAAAAAAAAAUGUCAUAAUUUUCUUUUUUUUUGACAAUUAAAUACCGUUAUAGGUACAUUCAUCAUACAUUUCCGUAUUUUAAUUUUUUAAGUCCUUAUAUCAUUCCAAUAGUUGAAAUAAUAGUUUACGGACGAUAUUUUUAACUGUUACCAAUGAAGGUAAAUAUAAUAUUUGCUAAGUAUUAUUGGGUUACAAAGAUAGUUUAGAAGACAUUUCUGUCAAAUCAUUUCUGUCAAUUUCACGGUUACCUGCAAUGAAUUUAAAUUAAUUUUGCUAAUUCCUUGAUGAUGAGAAUCAUCAUUCCUGUAGCAGUGUUAUUGAGAGAAUGACCGAUGAAUUUCCUGCUAAUUUAUUGGGUGCUAAGUAUUAUUAGAUUGAGAACAUGGUUUGCGUUAAUUUUAUAUAUAUAUAAUAAUAGGUAAACGGUUACCCGUUUAUAACCGCGGUUAAGCUCAUUUAAAUUUUACGGAUAAAUAAUUAUACCCAUAAUUAUUUAUUUAUCUAAACGGUUACCCAUAACCGUAACCGUUUAAUUUAAAUCGGUGGGUAACCGUGGUUACGCAUAACCAAUGUGUAUUUAUCCAUCCCUAGUCAUGCAACACCAAGAAAGUUAACGUGUGGCGUGGUGCAAUUGUUUGGGACACCGUCACAUUGCCCCUGAUGUUUAUCUAUCUCCUCAACGGCUCUCUAUGUCAACAUCUCGAUGAGAGAAAGAACGAGAAAUGGAGAAAGACAGUUACAAGGGACGGGGAGGCGGUGAAAAAGGAGAUGGGGGUGUCGGGGUAGCUGCCAACAUAACAGCUCCAACACUUUGCUUUUUCCUCUUUCUCUGGUCUUUGGUUUUUGUUUAAAGGGCAAACUGGGAACACUACAAAAUUUGUUGGGUGGAAAUUACUUUGCUGGUUAGAAUACAGAAGCAAUCGUCAACUAAUUGUGAUCCAGUGAGUGAGUGACUGACAAGACUUCCACUCAUCACUCAUGACAUUUCAAGUUUUUGCUUUUUUCUGUCUAAACCAUGUUGGCCUGCAUGUUUAAUUUUCACACUACAACUUUACUUUCAAGUUGUUUGUCCCUGCUGCUCCUCAUAAGUAUAGUGCUCCUCUUCCCUAAGCAUGUAGAUUUAAUGUUUUACACCAAUUGGCCAUACUAAUUAUCUCUAAUGUUAAUUCUUAGAAAACAAAUUAAAUUAAGUACAGCAUUGUUCAUGUAUGUAUUAUGUUGCACGUCAGUGAUUUAUUUUACAAAGUUUGAGAAGGAGAAGUUCUUCUCGUCCCAUGUGUGGAUAAGUGCUUUACCACUAGAUUAUACAGACUAACAAUUAAGUACAAUAGAUUAAUUUGUUCUAUGAAAAUAAGUCCAUGAAAGUGUUUACUGAUUUUAUACUUAUCCUUGUUCUCUAAUCUCUGUUAAGAAUUUGAUCUUGAGCAAUGAUGAUGAACAGUUUGCUUAAGAUCCAAAACUAAUAGUAAUAUUAAGCUGCAGACUGCAGCGACAGGCAAAGUCUGCUGAAGUCACAUUAUCCACUCUCUUUAUUGGAUUGUAUAAUACGGUAAAGGCAAAAAUAACAAACUGUGCGGCAUCACAUUCACAUGUCCGUGCUGCUAGCUGCAGGUGCAUGCGUAUUUAUUCAUAUGAAAUAUUCUACGAUGAAUCCGAGUAUAAGAUACUCUGAGUUUUUUUACUAUUACAUCUUGAUUUUGACAUUUUUAAUUAAAGAUAUGAUUAAAAAAUCUCAAGUAUUCAAUACUUUGGAGAACCAUAAAAUCUCGUCAAAACGUUGCUUAAUCAAGAAAAAUGAAAAUAGAAUUUGAAAACUGGCGAAGAAAAAUCAAGUACAUACUGUAUGGGGAACAAUAGUCUUCCAUGUUUCUUUUUUCUUUUUUUAAUAAAAAGGUUGUUUCCAUAGUUCAUGUUAGACCAACCUUGGAUUCGGCUCAUAAUAAGCGAGGCUAUUAUCAGUUGGUCCGCAAUUGAUCGGCUUAUUGAGUGCCGGAACUGCAGGAAAAAUUAAAACUUUGGUGUGGCCUAAGUUCCUAACUUAGUGCUUGAUCAUGCUGAAAGACACAACAAAGUCACUUAAAUUUGACGUGCUCAGGUUUCAUUGUCCACCAAGUUAAGGAUUAAAAAACGAAAACUGAAAAUUGUAUAAGAAAUGGAAAAAAAACACAUGGACAACCCAGUCGGCAUACGAACCACCUCCCUUGUCGGAGUCGGCGUCGCCCAACUCUUGCUGUUGAAAAUUAUAGUUUACUAGGAGCAGAAAAGAUGUGAAAAAGCCGUGGAACUGAAGUAGUUAUUCAUUUACUGUUAAAGGAUGCAAAGGCAAAGGAAAUGGGACACUCAAACAAUCAAACAAAUAUCUCUCUAGAAAACAAACAAAUGCACCCUUUUCAUUUCAAAGCUUUAUUCUAUUUAGCAAACUUAGCUCCUUUUAUUUCAAAGCUUUAUUCAAUAUUGCAAGCUCUUUCAUUUAUUUCAAUUAAAGUCAAAACCCUCUGUCAAUUCAUCAUAGCUUUGUUAUUUACAAGUAUUCCUCUUUAAAUCUCUCUCUUCUAAUAGCUAAAAGCAUUUCAAUACAUUAUCUCUCUUUGGAGUAUUACUGUCAUUUCAAUGCAAGCUUGAUUCAACAUACAUAUUGUGAUUGUGAUUGAUCUAUCUACAUAAGGAACUUAAGUUGAGCAUGUCCCAUUCAAUGACACAAUUUCUUGGUUAGAAGUCAAUUACGUGCAAUCCCCAUCACUAAAAUCCCAUCUGGUAGCGGUAACUAGUAGUAGCACACUUACCAUCUCCAAAUUCCUUUUGUAGUUCAAAGUUCCUUUCCUUCUUGUUCAUUUUACUCAAACUUCAAAAGCUCUGUUGCAUUGCUUGUAGAAUUGAUUUCCUGUAUUAGAACUUACUUUCCAAACACUCUCCUUACUUGCAAGAACUUGCCCGAUUGGCAUUGGUACUUGCCUGACAGGCACUGGAGCUUGCGCAACUGGCAUCGGAGCUUGCCCGAUUAGGCUUAUACUUUGCCCCGAAUAUUGUAUUUUCCAUUUCUAUCACCCUUUUUAUGCAAGUUAUUAUUUUGUUGACUAACAUUUAAUAAGCAUCUAACUGUCCUUUAUUUCCUGUUUUUCCUUUCUGUCAUUAUUUGCAUUAUUUUCAGUCUUUAUAUUUACUUGAUUGUUGCAAACUAAGUUAGACUCAGCUCUAAUUAGUUUGUGGCUGCCUUUUGGCAUAAACACAAAGAAAUUAUUAAGUUCUUGGGGACAAGGCAAAGAAAAUAACUUAACAUAGAUUAAGCCCCUCUAUGGCCCUGUCUUUUGAUUUGAAGCUCGAUUUACUUGUGGUUCAAGCAAACAACUUAAUAAACAACAUACAAUCAAUCAAUUUGUUGGUCUGAGCCAAUAGUGGCACACCUGAAAACAACUAACUCCUUUAAGAUAGCCUCAAGGCUUGGCCAAGGCUUCCUAAAAGCACCCUUAAACUGACAUUGUUUUCACCAUACUUGCAGGGGGAAAUAUGGCGCCAACACAUGCAACUUCAGUGUCUUGAUUAAUAUAUACGUUAGCAAUUUCGUCUUCACUAAUGUAAUGAAUCUUGGAACAACUUCAUUAAAAUGUUAGAACUGAAUUUUUGGACAACUUGAUAAUUAUUAUUGGCCUUGCAUCACAUAUAAAUUUAAUUUAGAAAGCGAUAAUCAUCAUUUGUCAAAUUGAAUUUUAUAGAAAAGGAAAACUAACGAAAAGGGCUUGAAAAUUUUAAGUUUUAACGAUAAGGACAAAAUAAAGGGUAAAGUGAAUAGUACCAGGAUUGACUUUUUAUUGUAAAAAUGUGGUUCGUUAAAGUGAACAGUACCGUGAGCUUUUCGUUAAAACUCAUUUUUAAAAAUCCACGAUCCAUAUAGGCUUUGGUUCAAUUUAUAAAUCGAUAAAAAUAGCUUUCAAGUUCAAUUAGCAUUAUCCCAGACCUUUUUUUUAUCCAGCCUCAAUAGGCAAAAUCCAAAUCUUAACAACACACACGUGUGCAUAUUUCAGGCUCCAUAAAGCGUAUCAAUUUAUAAUCAACAACAACAACAACAAAGACUUAUACCAUUAAGUGGGGUCCAUUUAUGCAUCCUAGAAUGCCAACUGCGCUCAGUUUUGCGCCAAAUCUUCCGUUAGCUUUAAGUACUCCAUGUCUUUUCUUAGAGUAUUUUUCCAAAUCUUCCUCUGCCCCUGCCCUUUUUGCUCUAAGCCAUUGUCUCAUAAUCGUAUCUUUUAAUCUGAGCAUCAGUAAGUAUUCAGUUCACAUGUCCAAACCACCUUAACCAGUUUUUCUCUUAUCUUCAAUUGCAGCUACUCUUACUUUACCUAGAAUAUGUUUGUUCUUAAUCUUGUUCUUUUUUAUGUGCCCACACAUCCAACGAAGAAUUCACAUCUUCACUACACUUAUUUUUUAGCACAUGAUAAUGCUUGACCACCCAACAUUUCAUACUAUAAAGCACUCCUGGCCUUAUUUUUGUCCUAAUUUUCCCUUAAGCUUUAGUGGCAUACGACGAUCGCACAUGUCACACCCUGAUUUCGAGAUACGUCCAUGAUUGACAUGUGACGUCACCACGUACCUGUUUGAUUAUCAUGCCUCGUUCUUGAGACAUGACAAAAAACAAACUAACAGAUCAAUAACGUAGUAACUAUUCCUUUUAUUUCAUGGCUGCAUCUAACCUCUAUGUUAUACUGCCUACGCGCCCUGAGACGGGGAUCGAGCCAUUCGUAGUUCACACUUUGAUAAACUCUAACAUUUCUCAUGGCAUUCAUAAAACUCUAGAUAACUCCUGACGUAAGUGUAAGUGAUGCACCCAUAUGUCAUUCCAUCUUUCACAUACUUCGCAAUGAUUUCCAAUAAUGAAACCACUGUUAGUAACAUUUCAAUGGACCAAUGAUGCACACAGUUUAACAUUUAACCACGUUAAUCAAUCAAUAAGAUCAAUGAUCACUUUACUAAUCGUAAUAAAGACAACAUCCGUAAGGCUUGCCAUAAUUCUCUACCAGGAUUCUAAAGUAACAUCAUUGUAACCCUAAAUUACAAACACAAGCAUAACCUUGAGCAACAUCUACUCACAAGAAUCUAGGGCUCUGAAAACCAAUUAGGAAAAGGGAUUCUGAACCACUCAACUGAGUCCAACGAAGAUAAGGUUUCAGACCAAUCAAUGGAACAAAAUAGGAAUAAGGAUUUCAGACCACUCAAUGGAAUCCAACGAAGAUAGGGGGUUUUGGAUAAUUAAUGAAACCGAAUUGGGAAAGAGAUUCGAAACUACUCCACGGAAUCUAAUGAAAAUAAGGUUCUGGACCACUCCAUGGAACCCAAUUCUAGAGUGCAUAUGGUCCUCAUGUGCGGAUUAACUAGACGAAACCAUAAGUAUCAAUUCAAUAGUGUGGUCCCCAAGUGCAGAUUAACCAGGCAAGACCACCUAUGGAUCUAAUGUGACCAAAUAAGCAGUGAUCUCCCAUGGGAUUAAACAGGCGGAGUCAGCCCUAGAAUGCGUAUGGUCCCCCAAUGCAGAUUAACCAGGCAGAACCAUAAGCAUGUAUCUAAUAGUGUGGUUCCCCGAUGUGGAUUAAUCAGGCAAAACCACCUAUGGACAUAAUGUGAUUAAGUAGGCAAUGACCCACCAAUGAGGAUUAACCAAACAAAGUCACUCCAAGAAUGAAUAUAGUCCUGAUAGGAUUAAAAGCACACCACAAAAUAGCACACAAACGUCCUAUUGAUUUUCCUUAUUAACACUAUAGCAUAUGAAAAUAAGGGUCUUUCCCGCAGAAGAUUGUUUUAUCUAACUACUUAAAAUGUCACAAAAAUUGGGCUGUUGUCCCUACUGACUAGCCACCGAAAAAUAAUUAUUAGACUGACUUACACUUAUCUAAGGUCUAUCAAAUUUUAUAUGCAGACACUAGACACGUAGAGCUACACACAUACAAAUUUUUGGGAUUUUUGAAUUGAUUUGCUAUUUAAAUUAAAUCGAACAAAAACAUGACAAAAGUGAAUUUUAAAUAAUAAAAAUAGAUUGUAGUUCACAAGUUAAGAAAAACGAGUUAUGGGAAUUGCUAUCCACCACCAAAUAAUCAUGCAAACAUGUUAUGUUUCAUUCAAAUUCCUUUUAUUUUUGGAUGAAAAUGCUCAAGUUGGCUCAAUGUUAGAACUCAACCUAUUAAUCUUUCUUAUGUAGUAUGUUAAGAGAAUGACGUUUUCAACUUAACUUAGUCCCUAGCAUGCAAUCUAGAAUGGCGUGUUCAUAGAUUUAAUAAGUAGAAAUCAUUAAGAACGAAAAGAGUUUGAGUCAUCAUAAGGCAUCGUAAGUACUAGCUUUGUCUUAGUUAUCCUAGAAAUUGGUUCACAUGUUAAUCGCAAUUAACAAGUACUAAUCUAGAACAUAUGUAGGUCUUCAUUCGACAAGGGCAGGUACACACAUAUUCAUAGCAUUAGAAUCCUAAAUAUGCUUACUAAGUAUGCAUCCGUAGAAAACACAUAAAGAAUUCAUCAAUGAGACAAGUAGUGAACCAAUUUUCAUCCAUUCAUAAAAGUAAUUCAACGAAAUGUCAUAACAAACUUGCAAUCAUAUUUGGGGCUUCAAAACAGCCCCUAACUACUAAAAAUUAGUUACACAUAAUCCUUAAAUAAAACCAAAAGAAAGACAUGAGUUUAAGAAGAUAAAACCGAAAGAAGAGAAUGCCAAGAUUUCCUCCUUCCUUUCCUUCCUUCCCCAACGUUGUUGCCUUGCUUUUUCUUUCUGUUGUAUUUUUUUUUUCUCCUCUCCUUUGCCGCUGCAACCUGAAGCCUUUUUGUUCUUGCUUCCUGCCCCAGUUUCUUCUCCAUAACUCACCUACUAUUAGCCAUUUAGUGAUGACAAUAAGUGAGAGGAAAUGGUAAAACAAUUGUAACUCUUUAGGUAGCCUUUAUGCCCAUUCCUCCCACUUAAUCCUCAUCUUUAAUUCCAUUUCCUCUGAUAUUUGAAUAGGUGUCAGCUGACUUGUUCUUGGCUGCAUCAGUUAUGGCUGCUAGAUUUAUUGGAUUUAUUGCUUUCAAUGCUUUCUUGUUAGUUACAAACUGCUCAACCUCUUGGAAACCUUUCAGUGUUAAAACGGCCAUAACUUCUUCUAGAAAAAUGAUAUUAGCAAUCCGUGAAAUGCUCCAGAAAAUAGACAUCCGUAGCUUUCUAAGAAUAUAAGGCUCAUUCUCUAAUUCAUUCUGAGCUGUUCGAAAUUUGCUUCCAAAGUCAGCUGAUCUGCACAGGCAGUUUUUACGAAUUUGUUACUUAAAAUCCCACUUGUGCUAUUUGUCUUUUAUUUGAUUGACAAAUCCCACAAAACACAAAAACAAAGUAAAUAGCUCAAAAAUAUAAGGAACUAACUAAGAAAAGACAAGUGAAUUUGAUGUAAAAUAUAUAUAAAUAUGAGCUUAUCAAAUACCCCCAUACUUAGCUUUUGCUAGUCCUCGAGCAAAACAAAGAAAACAUGAAAACGUAGCAACAUGAAAAACAUUAGCUUCCCCCUAUGUGACCCUCAUAGAAUUUCAUUCAAGAAAACAAAUCAUCAAGAACCUUAGCUAGCACCAAACAAGCUAAUCCAAGCUCAUCUUCCUUAUUCAAAUGUUAGCAGUAACCUUUUAAUCAUCCUUGAAGUGUAACGUGUGUAAUAGCCAUGCUAAUGCAAUUUCAAGCUUUUUUAAAAUACCACAUGCAAACUAGUGACCUUCUCACGGGACAUACACUCAAUCGCACAUAUGUUUAGUUUAACGUGUUUCACUCAAAGAAUCCAAUGUGAAAGAUCUACCAUAAGCUUGCAUAAAGAUCUCAUCUCUACAACCAUAAUUGCAAAACUUAAAUCAAGAUGACUUUUAUUGGAUGUAAUAAGGCUUAGGGAGAGGGUUAUAGAAAUGAAAGGAUAGGUAAUGACAAGUUCCAAGCUACAUGGCAAGCAAUUCUCUUGUUGAGAUUUAUAAGAACUCAAGCUCUCCAACCACUCCCCUAAACUGAAACUUAAAAAAAAACUUUUUAUUUGCUUUGUAUACAAAUUUUCUUUUUCUUUCUGUUUUUAUUUAUUUAUUAUUUUUACUUUUUUUUAACAACCUUGCACAUAACUAAAUACAAACAUGAAAUACCCCCACACUUAUUCUUUUGCCAGACUCCUUCAAAGUACUUCACAAACAUUUCUCAUAAGACAAUCUCACAUUGCUCACUAGCUAGCUUGGAAAGGGUAAGGAAAAAUGUUUAAGGUAUAAGGGUAGACCUAUCUGGUGAUAAGAAAUAAAAAGCUCAACAUAUACGGCUCAAAUUAGCAAUCUAAUGAUAUUUUUUUUCUUUAGGAAAACAUGCUUAUUUGGGCCAUUGUGAUAAACCUAAUGCCUCUAUCCUUUUCAAGUUCAUGCAAUCAAAUGACAAACAUUUUGAAAGAUCAUUACACAAGUUCUAGAGAUGUAAGUCACAUAAGUUCAUCACACAUGAAAGAAUAUGAGUGUGAAAAAUUCACACACUUUCAAUAGGCUAAAAAACUCACAUAGGAUGUAUAUUGUCACUAUGUUCACACAUGAAGCUUUAAGUCAUGCUUUAGUUUCACAUCAACAAGGCUAUGUGCAUUUGGUUUUUCAAAGAUGAUUAAACAUGUACAAGGCUAACAAGAGAAUAAGGAAUUUCACACAACACAUGAUUACUAAGUUCUUGAUCACCGUGGUUCAAAUUUGAUCCAAUUAUAUCAUUGGGUUGGGAAACUAACAAAAAUCUAAUUCAAAACAAUAAAGAAAAUAAGACUACUUUUUGAUUUUCAAAUUUUCUGAAUGUUUUUUUUUGUUUUUUUGUGGUUUUUUUUAGAGUAAACAAAACUAACUAAGAAAAUAAAAAGAAACAACACGGACACAAAUCAAACCAGUUCUUAGUCAAAGGGACGAAAAUUUUCAAUUUGGUCAUUUUUUGAAUCCUUACCCCCAAACCUAAACUGGACAUUGUCCUCAAUAUCAGAAAACACAAUAAUGCAUAAAAUAAAAAUAAAAUAAAAUAGUACGAAACAAAAUAAAGCAUUUAUACUGAAAACUUCCCCAAUUUGCAAUAAAAUCAAACGAUGACCCCCAAACUUCAAUUCUGCAAUCAACUCCAAUGGUGGACAUGAUCAAACUUUACUACAAAGAAAAGAAAUAAUUCAAUUUAGCACGUAAGAAAAUUCAGAAAACAAAAACAAACGGAAAAUUGAAAAUGACAGAAAAAGACAAUGAAUAGAAAUAUUGGGUUGCCUCCCAAUAAGCGCUUGCUUUUACAUCCACAGUUGGACAGCACCAAGAGUAAUCAUCCAAGGGGAGAUGGUUCUGGGAGGGGUACAACCUCCACAUCAUGCUCCGCAAAAGACUCGUAAUAUGGCUUAAGUUUAUGCUCAUUCACUUUGAACACGUCUCCAGUCUUUGCACUUUGGAUUUCCACUGCACCAUGAGGAAAAAUAUUAGUUAUAACAAAUGGACCAACCCAUUGAGAACGAAGCUUACUUCGAAAUAACCGAAGGCGAGAAUUAAAUAGAAGAACUUUCUGUCCAAUGACAAAGCUCUUCCUUAAGAUCAUCUUGUCAUGAAAUGCCUUUGAUUUCUCCUUGUAUAUUUCGACUAGACUCAUAUGCAUCAUUCUGAAUUUGGUCUAACUUAUUCAAUUGAAGCUUUCUCUGUUGUCCGGCAACACUCAUGUCCAUGUUGUAGGCUUUGAUCGCCCAAUAAGCUUUGUGCUCUAACUCUACUGGAAGACGACAUGGUUUCCCAUAAACUAACAUAAAUGGGGACAUUCCAAUAGGAGUCUUAUAGGCAGUCUUAUAAGCCCACAAUGCAUCUUUCAAGCACAUGCUCCAAUCCUUUCUACUAGGACUCACAAUUUUCUCCAAAAUUUGCUUCACCUCACGGUUUGAUAAUUCUGCUUGACCACUAGUUUGCGGAUGAUAAGGUGUAGACACCUUAUGUGUGACAUUGUACCUCCUAAGCAACACUUCAAAUGUUCUAUUGCAAAAGUGACUCUCUCCAUCGCUGAUGAUUGCUCUAGGUAUUCCAAAUCUUGCAAAGAUGUUAGUCUUAAUAAAAUUUGAAACAACUUUUGAAUCAUUAGUUUUGGUGGCUUUCGCUUCCACCCAUUUAGAAACAUAAUCCACAACCAAUAAAAUGUAAAGAAAACCAUUUGAAGAUGGAAAAUGUCCUAUCAAAAUCAAUGCCCCACACAUCAAAGAUCUCAACAAUCAAAAUAGGAGUUUGUGGCAUUUGAUUUCUUGGGCCCAAGUAGGGAUGUCAAUUCUAACCAUUAAACCCGAUAACUGUGGAUAACCGCCCGAAUGGAUUGGAUAUGGAUAUGAAAAUUCGGGUAUGGUAUGGAUGUGGGGAAAAACCGUGAACUUUAUUCGGUUAUGAUUUUGAAUAUGGUUAUAGGGGUCCCCAAUCCGUAUCCGUCCCCUAAUCCGACCCAAAUAUUAUAUAUAUAUAUAUAUAUAUAUAUAUAUAUUUGAUAUAUAAUAUAAUUUUAUUCAAUUUACCGAACUCUCCCUAUACUAAUUCAUUAUGCAUGCAACAAACCCUAUACUAUCUUUAUUAUGCACCAUGCAUAGGGCAUACCAACAACCUCAUCAAUUCAAUACUCUUAUUGUUAUACUCAACCAAAUUAAUUCAUUGAAUCAUUUUAUAUAUCAAUUAUCAAAUGUUACAAGUUUAUUAGAUUCAUCUCUAUUCAAGAGUUUCACUAUCAAGAAAUUGGUGCAUGUUAUCAUGAACAACUUCAAAUAUAUUGUUAUGUUUUUUGUCAUUGGAUGUUGCUAUUUAAUGACGGAAUUAGUAUUUACUAAAAUUUAUAAUGCAUCAAUUGGAUGAAUAUAAUUUUUUACGAAGAUGGAUAUAACCGAUAACCAAUUGAAAAUCUGUUACCCGGUGAAUAUGGUUAUGGAUAAUCCCCGAUGGUUAAUUUGCGGUUAUGGAUAUGGUUAAUUUUUGUGGUUAUGGGGAUGGAUAUAGAAUUUUCGUCCCCAAACUGAACCGUUGCCAUCCCUAGGCCCAAGUUACGUGUUCGUUGACAAUGAUCACAUGUUGCACAAAACUUGUACGCUUCCUUAAACAAACUAGGCCAUAAAAACCACUCUCUAACACCAUAAGGGUUGUCCUCUUUGCUCCAAAAUGGCCACCACAUGCAUAAGAAUGACAAAAAGUUAGAAUAGAUUUAAACUCAGAUUCGGGGACACACCUUCUAAUCAUCAGGGCAAUAUCGUAGUAUUUGGCGAUUUUGACAAGCUUAUCUUUUUGAGCACGUGUAAAAUCAUCCGGAAUCUUUUUGGUGACCAUGUAAUUGAUAAUAUCUGCAUACCAAGGGUCAGUAGCCUUUAAUGAAAACAAUUACUCGUCCAGAAAACUCUCACGUAAAGGGAUGAAAUAUUCCUCUGUGUUUGAAUGCACAUGUCUGCUAAGAUGAUAUGCUACAACAUUCUCACUCCUUUUCUUAUCCUUGAUCUCUAAGUCAAACUCUUGAAGCAGAAGUAUCAAUCGAAUGAGUCGCGGUUUUGCAUCUUUUUUUGUGAGUAGAUACUUCAAAGUUGCAUGGUCAGAAAACAUAAUAACUUCCCAAUCAAAUAAGAUCUAAAUUUUUCUAAAGCAAAUACAAUAGCUAAAAGCUCAUUCUCUGUUGUUGAAUAAUUCAACUGUGCAUGAUUGAGUGUUCGAGAUGCAUAAUAAAUGACAUGUGGCACUUUGUUGACACGCUACCCUAGAACUGCACCGACGGCAUAGUCUGAAGCAUCGCACAUCAACUCAAAAGGUAAAUUCCAAUCUGGUGGCAUGAUCACAGAAGUCAUGGAUAACAACUCAUUAAGCUUGUUGAAUGCUACCACACACUCUUCAUUCAUAUCAAUUGUUACAUCCUUUUGAAGCAAACGGCACAAGGGUCUAGAAAUCAUUGAGAAGUCCUUCAUAAACCUACAGUAGAAACCUGCAUGUCCAAGAAAAGAACGAACCUCCCUGACAGUAGUAGGGAGGGGUAAAGAACUAACAAGUUCUACUUUAGAUUUAUCAACUUCAAUUCCAUUUUCAUAUAUGAUAUGCCCUAGAACUAAUCCAUGUGAAACCAUGAAAUGACAUAUUUCCCAAUUUAAGACCAGAUUAGUUUAUUGGCAACGUUUUAAAACUAGGGACAGAUUAUGUAGACAUGUAUCAAAAGAAUCACCAUAAACUGAAAAAUUAUCCAUGAAAACUUUAAUGAUUUUCUCAAUCAUAUUAGAAAAGAUACUUACCAUACACCUUUGAAAUGUGGCGGGGGCAUUGCAAAGUCCAAACGGCAUCCUCCGAUAUGCAAAUGUGCUAAAUGGACAUGUGAAAGUCGUCUUUUCUUGAUCCUCUAGAGCAACUGCAAUUUGAUUAUAUCCAGAAUAGCCAUCAAGAAAGCAAUAAUGAGAACGAUCAGCUAACCUUUCUGGAAAGUGAUCUUUGCGUGUGGUGCUGUUUAUCUUCCGAUAGUCUGUACAGACUCUCCAAUUAUUUUGCACACGUGUAGGCACUAGCUCAUUAGCUUCAUUCUUAACAACUGUGACUUUGGAUGCUUGAACAUGGCUCACUCACUUGUUGUCUGAGAUAGGAUAUAUGAUGCCAACAUCCAGAAGUUUGAUAACUUCUUUCUUGAUGACUUUCAUCAUGAAUGGGUUCAAAUGGCGUUGAGCUUCCCUUGUUGGUUUUGCACAUUCAUCCUACAAAAUCUUAUGCAUACAUGUAGCUAGAUUUAUACCUUUGAUAUCUGCAAUACUCCAAGCUAUGGCAAUUUUGUGAUCCUUCAGUACUCGGAUCAGUUUCUCCUUCUCUUCUGCUGUGAGUUAUGAUGAUAUGAUGACCAAUAAUGUUUCAUCCUCUCCCAAAAAUCCAUACUUCAAAUGUUCAGGAAUCAGUUUAAGCUCCAAUUUGGGUGCCUGAACCACGGAAGGAAGAGUUUUUUCGUUAGAAGUAGAAAUUACAAAACUAGGUUCACAAGGUUGAAUGUCGUCAAACAUAGUAAAACACAAAUUCAAGGCAUCUAAAUUAGCUACAGUGAACAAAGUGGGUCAUCAGCGUAUGGGCCACCGCAUGCAGUGGCCUGUGGCCACAACAUUGCUGAAAUUCGACCAAUAUCAAAUUGAUACAAAUUACACCACAAUGAAGCUCACAUCGAGGGAAGAAAAUGUUAUACAUGUGCCAAAGUCCAGAUCUGAACGGAAAACAGUGAAAACCAUCGAAGAAAGUGCAGGUGGACAGUAAACUUGUGGAGCUACUGUGACACCACCGCUGCACGAACGUCCUAUCCAAGACUAAGGUUUUGCUUUAGGCAUCAAGGGCUUCUCAAGGGUUGUGGUGGUUGCCAGCAUUAUCAACAGGAACAACGAGAUCGUUGUUCGUUGAAUCCUUCAACUUUUCGCUCGUCGAUCCACCCGUCCUACGGUUGAUCGCUGGGCUUUACUCGAGGUAAGGAGAAGAGUCGAUCAUGAGUGGUGACCAAGAUCGACGUUGCCUUAAUUUGCAAAAAUCAACAUUAAACAUGGGUCGCGUCGCCGGUUAGGUCAAUGAACGUGGGUCAACCUUCCUUAAAUAGAUUAUGUCCAGACUUGGGUUGGGCUACUAUAUAUAAAGGGACCAAAUUAUCAUUUGCCACUGCCUUUGCUCAUUUAUUUCUCCUUCGUUAUAACUUCAUUUUGCGAAUGGCUUUUGCCUACGUGCUUGUGAGAUCAAACUCUAUCCAAAUACUCGAGGUAAGGAGAGGAGUCGACCAUGGGUGGUGGCCAAGAUCAACGCUGCCUCAAUUUGCUGAAAUCAACGUUAAAGAUGGGUUGUGUUGCCGGUCGAGUCAGUGAACACGGGUCGACCUUCAUUAAAUAGAAGAUCAUGUCCAGACUUGGGUUGGGCUGCUAUAUAUAGAGGGACCAAACUAUCAUUUGCCACCGCCUUUGCUCACUUAUUUCUCAUUCGUUAUAACUUCAUUUCGCGAAUGGCUUUUGCCUACGUGCUUGUGUGAUCAAACUCUAUACGAAAAUAUUAAGAGUGACCCUGAAAGAUCUAUGAAUUUUUAAUGACUAAUUACAGAAAAAACAAACUUUAACUAACCAACCAGAAGUCCAAAAACUAACGAAAAAUAAAAUUAAUAAUAAUAAUUUCUUGAAAAUACAUAAUACGAAAAAUUAAAUAAUGAAAUAUGGGAACGAGAUUUUAUAGCACAAACAUUCGAUGCAGUUUUCUACUUCAUCCAUCUAACUUGUAUUCUAUGGUUGAGAUCUUCAUCCAAUUCUCCGUUGUUUUGCAAGAUAGAUCCAACAUAGCGAAAGCUUUCGCUCUUUUGAUACCACAUGAGAGUUAUUAUAAUCACUAAUGAAAAUCAUGAGAGUUUUUAUUAUAGGUUCUGAUACCACAUGUAAGACUUAUAAAAUACAUAAGUUAACAAAUUAAGCUCACGAACCAUAAUCAUACAAGUAUCAAAACUAUAGAAGCAGACGAAGAAGAAGCUAUAGCAAACCUCAAUAUAGUGCAUCUUUUCAUGUAGAGAUCGACAAUGAUGAAGCCAUGAGUCUUCUAUAUCAAAUCUUCUCCUCUCUGAAAAAACCUUAAUGCUCAAAUCAACAAUAUGCAUUUUAUUUAAUAUAGAAUGUAUAUAUUGCAAGAGCAUAGGCCUAGUGUAUAUACAUGUUCAGCCCAUUUGUCUCUCCUAUUAGGAUCCAAGUGGAACACUGACAAGAAAUCCUUAUUCAACAAUGAGUACAUAAACUAGGAUGGAAAUUGUGUUUUAAUGCCUGGUAACGUUUGAAACAAUUCAAAACCUCCGUCUAUUAUGCUUCUUUGCACUUAGUUGGCUUUGAAAAUACAUUAUCAUAUUUGUAUUCUAAUAGUUGUUUGCUAAUAACACAAUGUUCACGUACAUUAGAAGGAAGAAUGACAAGAUUUGUCAUCAUUUUGUUCAGAUAUAGUCUUCUACACAUUGAGAUUCAACUGGCCAUGGCAAAAGAGCCAAAGUCAUGUUGGAUCAUUCACCUUGGAAAUUAGACUUCUAGAUGCUUUUGACUCGCAGCGGAUUGCACCUUUUUCGCUGGAUCAUAAACUAACCACAAUUUCAUUCUCUUGUAGCUAACACAAACUUGACAGAUUGCUUUUUAAGUCAUGAACAUAACUCACAGUAGUACGAGAUGCUCCAUUUAAAUGGGGAAAAAAAAAGUUACUUAUACUACCACUCAUACGAUUAUUUUCAGCUUAGUUGUGUCCAUAUAACAAAUGUUUGUUUUAAAUUCCUCCUCUUUCACAUGGUACUCCACGAAAACUUAAAUAUAUGUUUUAAGGCUAUGGUGAAUCAAACAUUGUGACUUAAAAGAUAAGAACUGAGUCCCAAACUUUGGUGCAUUGGAUUGGAGAGGUUUUUACCAAGUUUGUCAUAAAUGUCGUAGGAUCAUAAUUAGUAAGGGAAUGCACAUGUUAAGAACCUUCUCAUUUUAAGAUUCCCAACACUGUUUGUCAUCCUACAAUGUUACGCGAUGAUUUGAAUAGCUAAAAUGGAACCAAGUUUAAAAAUGUUGAUCCAUCUUACAUUCACCCAAUAAACACUUGACAACCAUCAUGUUACCCAGUUAAACAAUGAAAUCUUGACAACAAUUAUUGGACAGCUGAAAGAUUUCUAAUUUGAUUAAUUUUCUAUGGAGUUAAUCUUUGAGCGAUUUCUACUACUCAGUACUACGGUAUGGUAAUAUUCCUAUUCGCUUAGAAGUGAGAGGUCUUAGGUUUGAAUCUCGUAGAUGGCGAAUUCAAUACAAAAUUAGGCUACUCAUUAUGUGGCUUAGCCAAACUUCCCCUCAUCCUAGUGUAAAAAUAUCGAUGUAUUCAAAAGAAGAAAAAAAAAAAAAACUUUGGGCGAUUUCUUUAAAGAGUAAACUAGAUAAUAAAUGAUUCUGAUUAUGGUGCAACACAAGUGAUGCUCACCUAAGGACUUUGAGGACUUGUAAGGACCAGCUCUGUCUCGAAUCAUAGGAUUUUAUUCAGCAAGAUAUAGCGGCUCAAAUUAUUUUACAUUUUAAAAUAUCUUAUUUACACUCCUUUUUAAUUUCAACCCAUUUUGUAUUGAGAACCCACGUUUCUUUUACCCUCACGAUCUCUCCCAUGUUCUUUUCUUUCACACAGUCCUCCCAAGUCCUAACAUGUAAGAAUUCCUUGACAGCUUAAUGGCCUAUAAAUCUACUCCCAAGAAAAUCAUCUUAAGCACUUUAUUUCUCAUACAGCCUUGAACUUUCUUUCCCAAAUUCAUUUAUCCAAAUGGAUUUAAUAGGCCAUGAUUUAAAAUACAGAUGCACUGUUACUGCAGGAAAACCAGAUGUUCAAAAUAAAAUAAAAUAAAAUAAAGGAAAAUAAAAUAAGCCGUACAAAUUCAUGUGUUCUGCAAUUUAGGACAAAAUUUAAAAUAAAAAAAAAGAAAAAAAAAAGGUAAUCAGAGACUGAAGAAAUUUUUGUGAAUCAAACAAAAGAACAAAUAAAAUUGGCAUCGCACAACCUUUUAAUACAAAAGGAUGAAAAACAUUGACGAAGAUGCAGUAGGCGAGAUUUGCGAGGGUAAAAGAAAAAUAGGUUGGGUUUUUAUCACAAAUGGUCCUUGAAAUUGACCAUCACCAUUAAAAUGGUCUAUGAAAUUGAAAUCAAUCAAUGUAAUUCUUGAAAAUAAAUGUUGCAAAUCGAUGUGAUCCUUCCGUCAUAAUUCUAUUAAAAAUUCCAUUAAGUGUUGAUAUGAUACAUAAAUAAGUCCCAUAAGUCUUUUUUUUUCUCACAAAUGGUCAUUGAAAUGACCUGCGACAUCAAGAUGAUCCUUGAAAUUGACAUGCAACAAAAAAAAUGGUCCCCGAAAUUGAAAAACGAUCAAUGUAUUCCCGCAAGUAGGUGUCCCAAAUCAACGUAGUCUGUUUGUACCAUAUUUAGAGCCUCCGUAUUUAGAGCUCGUAUAAAUACUCGGAGGACUCAAAUGUAAUUAUGUAAUAAAUGGGGGGCAAAUAUGUAAUAAGUGAGGAGCCCUUAUUUUAUAAAAGGGCAUCCUCACCCUAAAAAACCUUAAGCUCUCAUCCUCACAAACAGAGAGCUCUCUCAAACUCUCUCUUUCUCUGAUGGACUCCCCCUUACCCUUGUAACCCAUACAUACAGUUAGAGAGAAUACAAUCAACAUCAGUAUGGACUUAGCUCAAACAUUGGGGUGAACCAUGAUACAUCUUGUGUUCUUUACUUUCUUGCAGAUUCACGGUCGGAUUUAUGUUGUUCCAAGACCCUCCGGUUUUGUGCAUCAACAUUUGGCACCGUCUGUGGGAAACGACACGAAAAACUAUGUCGGAUCUCUUUCAUUUUUUCACCUCCAUCGUGAAUCUGCAAAACCCACACAGAGACACAGACACAGAGCUCUCUCUAUCUCUCUCUGCCUCUGAACUCACGCCUUUCCCCACAACCCACACAUUUUCCACUUCUCAGAAAAGCCAAAAAAAAAAAAUCCCCAACAAAAUAAUAAUAAUAAUAAUAACCUCCAGAAAUUGAAAAUAAGCGGAUCAAAAAACCAAAAUGUCUUCUCUCAUCACAGCAGAGAUCAAGUCCAAGGCAGACGAGCUCUACCAUGGACAUGAAAUCUGCCAACAGAAAUCAAAUGAGCUUCUCUCAGAAACAUGCUUCCCCAAUGGCCUUCUGCCCCUCAAAGACAUCGAAGAGUGCGGGAUCAUGAGGGAAACUGGCUUUAUGUGGCUCAAGCAAAAAAAAAGCUGCACCCAUAAGUUUGAGAAGAUAGAGGCUAAAUCCAACGCCCUAGGGGCCCUUAAGAAAAAAAAAAACCCUCUCUCUCGUCACUUACUUUCUUUCUCUGCACUCUUCAAUGGCGACCGCAUCUUCCUCAUCGAGGGCAAGAACCCGGGCAAACAAAAGCGGCCCUGUGCUCCGGUCGCUCUCGCCUUCCGAAAAGUUCUACACCGCUUCCAAUGGCAGUAUCUCAUCGUCGGCGUCAGGUUUCGUUUAUUUAACGAGCUUAAGCUUCUCGUCGCCGACGUCAGCUUUAUUCCACCACCACUACCACCACCACCAGGACCACCACUACUACAAUCAGCAGAUCAAUCACCACUACCAUCAUAGAUCCGCUUCUCCGACGCGUGUCAACCUUUACACCUCUUCAUCUCCGUUUCCGUACGUUCGGUUCUCUAUCAACCACCGUUUGAUCUCUCCCAACCACCAUUGGAAUCGAUCCAUCGCCGUCUCCAAGAAAACUGGACCGAUUUCGAUGCCGAAGAAGACCUGUAUGUGCUCGCUGAUGUCGUAUUCGGGAUCAUUUUGCUGCAACCUCCAUAAAAACCAGAGAUGGAGUGAAAACACCGGAUCUUUCCUGUCGAACAGGUUGAAUAUGAGCAGGUCUACUAUGACGAACUCGCUGGUACGAAUUAGUGGAGUCGAAGGCGAAUGGGUGAAGCGAACCUUGACCUCUCUAAUUCGCCCUUGUGCGCACCAGUAGAGGUGGAGAGCCGGGUUCCAGCCACGGCCCAGCAGACUCUCUGCCAUGUCCACCGCCGACUACUAGUGGUGGCGGGUUACAAUUCACAACGAAUUUUGGUUUACAGAGUGACAGAACGGACACAGGUUGGUUGGUUAUUUUCCGGUCAUUUCUCUCUUUUUUCGAUCUUUGAACCCGACGAGUAGAACUCGGAGCCGCACAUCGCAGCCGUUUUUGAUCUAAUUCGACCAGAUCUGAUGGCACAACUGAGUCGAUUCAAGCAACUUAGACGAGUUAUGAAGCGGAGGCGCUGAGUCAAGCCCGACGAGUUUUACACUUAGAACUCCAUAUUUGUACAGUUGAAUGAUAAUCAUGUGAUAUGGGUCCUCUUUCGGGAAAUGACAAGAAAAAGCAAAAGGAAGUCUGGAGAUAAGAAAAGCCAAGGAGCAAGUGGAUUUACAGUCACUGCUCACCCAUGUUGUAAACCUGUAAAGCAGAAAGCAAAAGAAGAGAAUAAAAUCUGAGAGAUUGAGAUUUGACUGAGCAGACCGCAAGUGGUAGGGGACAAACGGUAAAGAAGAGAUUAAUGAUUAAUUGGGUGCACAUGCAUGAUAGCAGCGCAGAGACAGAGACAAAAAGAGAGGUGCAGUGGAAAGAAGAAAGGAAAAGGUAAAACAUUCAAUAGGCGCAAUAGUCACAUGGAAAAAGAUCUGCAACAACCCAGUACGCAAUAGGUGCAGCACACACCAACGAUCUGCAACUGUCGAAGCUUUUGUGUCGAAACCUUUGUUUUGAAUGAUGUGAUUUACUUUUCUUAUCUUUUGACAUCUGUAUAACCCCAACGGAGGGUAAUAAAAAAAUUAAAAAAAAAAAAAAACGGCAAGCCCAAAAGAGCUAGGCCCUAUGGCUCCAAAUUUAUUCAGCACCCUACCGCUAUUAUCACCAACCAGGUGAUUAAAAGUACAUCUAAUACUCCAAAAUUAUUCGGCAGCCUGCCUCUAUUAUCACAAACCAGGUGAUCAAAGUACGCCUAGUACUACAAAAAAAUUAUUUGGCAGUCUGCCGCUAUUAUCACCCACUAGGUGAUCAAAAGUACGUCAAGUACUCCAAAAUUAUUCGGCAGCCUGCCGCUAUUAUCACCCACUAGGUAAUCAAAAGUACGUCCAGUACUCCAAAAUUAUACAUGAGCAUCACUCAUGUCAAUCAUACAUAAACAUUCAUGAGCAUCACUCAUGUCAAUCAUACAUAAACAUUCAUGACCAUCAUUCAUGUCAACAUUCAUGAGCAUCACUCAUGUCAACAUCCAUGAGCAUCACUCAUGUCAAUCAGCUUCGAAAGCUUCAUUUACGGAGCUCUAGCUUCAAAGCUUCAUUUUAAAAGCUUCACAGCUUCAUUUUAAAAGCUUCACCUACAAAGCUUCAGUGCAUGGUAUACAAAGACUGCCUCCGAACAACCGCCACUUUGGCCCAUACAUGGAUUGAAAUUGAAGUCUUCAGCCAACAGCCUCUAUUGACUAAAGACUUGGGGGGACUGCACUAUGUACCAAUAUAUUGGGCUUCCACAACUGGGCCUCGUGAAAAAUACUCGGGGGACUUAACCCAUUAUUCAUGUAUUGAGGAGCGAACCCUUAUUCUAUAAAAGGGACUCAUUCACCUUCAUUAAAGAGUAUCGCCGCCAACUGAGCAACCGCCUCGCCGCGAGCGUCAACUCUAGCCCAUCAUUUAUGUAUUGAGGAGCGAACCCUUAUUCUAUAAAAGGGACUCCCUCACCAUCAUUAGAGAGCAUCACCGCUUGCUGAGCAACCGCCUCGCCGCGAGCAUCAAAUCUAGCCCAUCAUUCAUGUAUUGAGGAGCGAGCCCUUAUUCUAUAAAAGGGACCCCCUCACCAUCAUUAGAGAGCAUCACCGCCUGCUGAGCAACCGCCUCGCCGCGAGCAUCACUCAUAACCCAUCAUUUAUGUAUUGAAGAGCGAGCACUUAUUCUAUAAAAGGGACUCCCUCACCAUCAUUAGAGAUGAUCGCCGCCUGCUAAGCAACCGCUUCGCCGUGAGCAUCAACUCUAGCUCAUCAUUUAUGUAUUAAGGAGCGAGCCCUUAUUCUAUAAAAGGGACUCCCUAACGCCACAAGCCAAGCCAACCAAGGCAACAUAAGCCAUAAACCGAGCAGCCUCGCAACAUGUGCUACUUCUAGUUGAGCAUCAUUUCACAUUGAGCACUACCUCAUAUCGAGUAUUCAGUUCUAGACGACAUCUAGUUACUUCGGCUCACACAUGGACUGAAUUUGAAGUCUCCAGCCAAAAGACUUUCUUGACUGAAGACUUGGGGGACUAUUGUUUGUACCAUACUUAGGGCUUCCGUAUUUAGAGCUCGUAUAAAUACUUGGGGGACUCAAAUGUAAUUAUAUAAUAAAUGAAGGGGCAAAUAUGUAAUAAGUGAUUAGCCAUUAUUCUAUAAAAGGGCUUCCUCACCCUCACAAACCUCAAGCUCUCAUCCUCACAAACAGAGAGCUCUCUCAAACUCUCUCUUUCUCUGAGGGACUCCCUCUCACCCUUGUAGCCCAUACAUACAGUUAGAGAGAAAUACAAUCAACAUCAGUGUGGACGUAGCCCAAACAUUGGGGUGAACCACGAUACAUCUUGUGUUCUUUACUUUCUUGCAGAUUCACGGUCGGAUUUACGUUGUUCCAAGACCCUUCGAUUUUGUGCAUCAACAUAGUCCUUCCGUCACAAUUUUGUUAAAAAUUCUAUUAUGUGCUGAUGUGACAUAUAAAUGGAGCUCACAAGUCUAAUUAAAUUUAAAAAAUUACAAAUAGGUUUAAUAAUGGGAAUUAUUAUUAGCACUCCAAAAAUCUCAUUCUACGCUCCAAACUUUCUAUAUUAGGAAAGAAAUAUACACUUGUGAGGAGUGUAGAAUGAGAUUUUUGGAGUGCCAAUAAUACUUUCCUUAAUAAUUUAAUAGUUAAUAAAAAGUUGUGAACCCAAAAACCCAGUUCUGCAAUCACCUCUGAUCCUAGUCCACAUUCCUCUACCUCCUUCGUUGUCUAUUAUCUAAAAAAAAAUUCUCAAUACACUCAUCUUUACACACUUCAACACCCUUCACUGAAUUGAACCUGGAUCGAGAUCACCUUUAGUGACAGCUUGGCUGAUUGGCAAUGAUUCCUGGGACAUCACCGUUAACAUUUAGGCGAUCAACAUCCUCACAACCUUAAUCUUGGAGAGCUUGUUCGGCGCUUCCUUACUGGUCUAGUGACUCAAAGAACAGCGAGGUAUGCCUUGAGAUAAUGAGGUUAUAACUGAGGUGUGUAUUAUUGGUUGAAAACUAUUUCCAAACCUUCUCUUAGGCCUUGAUUAUGCCUUGUGUCUUUGCAAAUUUAUGAAAAGAAUCUCUCAUCAGAGUAGGUCCUACUCUAAGAUUAAAAAAAUUCAUUGUGCAAAAAGAUAUUUAGACAACUUUUUAAUAAAUUAUUAAACCUACAUCAACACAUAACAAAAAAAUGUACAUAACUGUGGCGGAAUGAUCGUAUUGAUUUGCGACACCUAUUUUCAAGGACUACAUUAAUUGAUUUUCAAUUUUAGGGACCAUUUUGAUGGUGUGAAUAAAUUUCAGGGAUCAUCUUGAUGAUGUGAGUCAAUUUCAGAGACCAUUUGUGAUAAAAACUCAAACAGGUUCCACAAAAUGGGUCAAAUUAAGAGUGAUAAAUAGAGUGUUUUAAGUUGUGAAAAAAUUUGAGCCUCUGGAUCUCAUUUAAUAAAAUUCUAUGGUUGAUAUAAAGUUGGUCCUCACAAAUCCUUAAAAUAAGGACCUUACGUGAGCAUCACUAGGUGCAACACUAAAGGCAAAAGAAGAGUAAAAAUAAUAGUAAUGUAAUUCAUAUAUCUAUUUUUAAUUCUUACACCUCUUAUAAUUUUUUGUCGUCGGAUCGAAAGCAUUGAUAAAAAUCAAUAAUAAAAAAUUAAUAAAAGUGCAUAAGAAGUAAAAAUGAGUUUGUAAAUAUUACUUAAAAAAAAAAUUCAAGUAAGGUACGACUGAAAAGAUCCAUAGCAUCUCCAACUCAUAGCUUAAAUUUUAUAUUUUUUUUCAUAAAAAUGGAGUUAAUACACCCGAAGCACUAGAUACGUGGGAGAAGCUAAAAAAGUCGCAUCUAUAUCGUAUCAUUCAUGUCAUUGACAUUUUAAACGCCCCACAAGUCACAACUUGGAUCUCACAAGUCAACGAACACAACCAAUCUGCAUUUGCUGGCCUGGCCCCCACCCCGGAUACCUAAAUAGUCCAAAUUGACUCUCUCAGCAUAAAACGACAUCAAAACUAAGAAAAAAAACAAAAGGAUUAUUCCGAUGCGCGCCCUUUUUGACUAUUUCCACACGCAACGAAGAUUUCAACCAAAGAAUCCAAUGCUCCGUCCACCAACACAAUUAAUUUCGUAUAUAAAAAAAAUUAAAAAAAAAGAAAGUAAAUUAAUAAAAAAAUUGAAUAAAUUCAAUAACUCAUCAAAAGUAUAUAUUCCAUUUUCCAUCUCUCUUUCGCCCUUCUUUUCUUCCAUAAUUUACAUCAUAUACCCCUCCGUUUCCAUUACACCGUAUAUUUCAUUUUUGUAAUUCAGCAUCAUUUUCUUUUGACUUGUGAAAUAGCGCUAAGUCCACAUGCUGUGUACUUCUCCACUGUCACGGCGUGCCUUCAACGGUGACGAUCGGGAAUCAAACUGUGGACCCCGCGUCACUCUAUUCAGGACGACUGGAAAACAAGGCCCACAUUAGCGGCUGUGAGGGAAGGGUAAGGGUGCGGGUGACGGUGCUCAGCUUCGUAGGUAACGACGAGCAUCUUGGGGUCGUCCUGUGCUCUCUCCACGUGUUUCCUUGCUGGACACCCUCUCACUGUACUGCACCUAUAAUACCCUCUGCAAACAAAUAAAUACAAUUAAAAUUAAUUUAUGAGCUUCAUGGAAAAAGAACAUUCAGAUCUGUGUUUGACUUUGAAAAGAUGUGCGGUUGAGAUUUAAAGAAGAAGAAUAAUACCUCGGGUGAGGUGAGCCCUUGAUCGGCUUUUGACCAUACUUUCUCCAGGCGAACUCGUCCGCAGGUAUAUCGGCGGUUUUCGAGCUAAUCGCCGCCACUCUGAUCGUCCUCUUAACCUUAGACUUCCUACAAAUAAUUAAAACAAAUAUUCAUUUAAUACAAUAAUCUUCAAACAAAAUGCUAAAAUCAGUACCUUCUUUUCUUGUUCAAAAAAAAAAAAAAAAGUACCUUCUUUUAGAACAAUGGCAGUGGCCCGACGACGACGACGUUUUAGCGGGUUCGCCCUCGUGACACCGUUUCCGGUGAGAUUGUGGAAGGGGCGGUUUUCCAGCGGAGAAAGCCGGAGGCGUAGGCACAGAAAUCGAUGAGAAGGUUUUACCGUUGGAAACGCUGCCGUCUCCGAUUGUGUUUGAGGAAAAAAACGACGACGUAGUGGAGACCGGAGGGGACACAGUAGUGGAGUAGUCCUUGUCCGAUUUUGGGGUUUGAAAAGCAGUCAAAGUCGUCUGAGGUUUCGGAUGGACCGAAUCUGAAGCUGGUUUGGCCGGUCCGCGACGGAACCGGGCGUGACCGGUCCGGUUCAAGACGGAGAUUAGGUGCUUGAACUUGGUGACGGUGAAGUCGCUGAUUUCCCGGCAAUCGAGUGGAGUGUGGGACGGGGUUUGAUUGGACAGGGUGCGGAUGAGGUGCUGCAUGCUUUGCAGGCCGGCGGAGGCAGCUUCUUGCACGGCAGUCCGAUCGUCCAUCUUGGAGAAGCCAACUAGAUCUAUAGCCAUCGGAGCUGGCUUUUGCUUUGAGAAUACAGAGAGACUUGGGAGGGAGGAUUGAUGGAGUUAUGAAUUGGGAGAGUUUGAGAGAAGGGAGGGGGUUGGGGGUUAAAAGGGAACCGAAAAGAUGGUGUAAAAGUCAAAGGAUGGGAUCCAAGGGUAGAGAUUUUUGCAUGGGACAUGAUGACACGAAGACAAAACAAGUCUGAAGGGGGUUGGUGAUGGGUCCCACGUGAGGCAAAAGAGGAGAAAGAGGGUUCCGUCUUGUAACGCACUGACUUUUUAGCUUUAAUUAUUGACCAAUGGCCGCGGCAUUCUGAGUUGCGUAUGUUGACUUUAUCAUCUACUCAAAUCAACCAAAUAAAGAAUAAUCAUGUUGUAUGAUCUGCUUUUCCUUUCAAGAUCUCAUCAUAUCAUAUACGAUAUGCUUGCAAGCUCCAAGUUGCAACUAAUUAAAUACGAUAUUCUCCUAGUUAUAUUUUCCUUCAUUUUUGUUUUGUUUUCUGUAUGGAUGCUUGUCAAAUCUGGAUGUGUAAUGUAGCGAUUGUCUAUGUAUUGUAUAUCAUGUGGGAACAGCAAAAUUGUGAAGCUUUCGUAAUAUUCAAAUUGCCCUUCUUUCAUAAAAAUUAAAAAUAAAAAAAAGUGUUAAUUGGCACACACGCAACAAGCAUUUAGCAAGAUGCUAGUUAAUAAUUAAAAGUCGUCUAUGUUCACUUUGAGUGAUUAAAGAAAGAACGUUUCCAUGGGAAGUGAAUAUAAGAUUUUCAUCAGGCUGAUCUUGAGCCGCCAUCCAAGCAUGAAUAUUGUUAUAACACUUACUUGUGUUUUAUCAUAUAGUGAAAGUUAAUUUUAGAGUAUAGGCAAUUUUAGAAGAAUGGUUAUAUGCAGUGGCGGAGUUAAGAUUUCUGCCAAGAUUUUAUUCAUAUGGGGGUGCAAUAAAAGAUCAACCAAAAUGAAUUUUGGCCCUUAAUACACAGACCCCUAAAACCUUUUGUGAAUGAAAAAAAGCUAAGGAGAUCAAAUUUUUAGACUAUUCUAGUAAACCAGAUGAUAUAGCGUUGAUAAAUGGGCCACGCUUUAGUGAUUAAAAAACUAAGGCCAUCUCCAGUUACGAAGGACUAAAGAUAACUUUGGGCUAUGUUUGUUUUUUUUUUUUUUUUUUUUUACUUUUUUGGGCCAAAUUUUUAACUUGAUAUGGUGCCACUCAGUACUACGGUCGAAUUGUAUUCAUCUUCACUUGUAAAUGAGAGGUCUUGAGUUCGAUUCUCGUCAAAGACGAAUUUAAACCAUAUUAUUGAUAGUGCAUUGUGAGACUUAGCUCACUCUUGUAUCCCCUUAAUGUAGUCUAUAGCCCUUAGUUGAAGAUAGUUUAAGUACCGUUUGUUUGUUUGGUGUUGACAAUUUAGUGGGUGAGUGAAGGUUAAACUAAUUACUUGACCUUGCUUUUCUGUUGCAAAACAUGGAGUCAAAGCCUGGGUGGUCUACCAUGCAAUGCAAUUCAAAAGAUGGAAAACACUUUAUUCAUUGUGACCUUGCUUUUCUGUUGCAAAACAUGGAGUCAAAGCCUGGGUGGUCUACCAUGCAAUGCAAUUCAAAAGAUGGAAAACACUUUAUUCAUUGUGCUUUCCUCAUCCACGACCACGACUAGUAAUUUGACCAAUUUUGAGAACGUUCCUCAUCCUUCCACGCAACUCCCAACAAUUUCAAAGGAAUCCCUCCUUAUCAUGAAACCUCGUUGAGAACUGCGACGGAGCAAACGCGACGGACCAGCAAACUAGGUGCUGGAUUGUGAUCCCCACUUCGCGACCUAGCGUUCCGUCUUUUCGUUUUAGGGGUUUGACAUUUUUAUAAAGUGAAUGAAAUUGUCGACCCGAUUUCUCUUUCGUCUAAACUGUCUAAAAUAUUACUAUUAUUUACCUUAUGUGUUGGUGGUCUUAUUUUUAUCGAAAAUAUAUUACAAAUGUAGUAUAAAAAAUAUAAUAAAUAUAACUUUAUUGUUUACUUAUUGUUUAUCGCUCAAUUAUUUUUCACUCAUCCUACAACCACACGACGCUGCUAGUGAUUGAUUUUUUUUUUUAAUUUAUGCGCGUAUGACGUGGACCUUUAAUAUUCGAAACGCGUGCCAUACAAUUUGAACCACUCGUGAGACAGCUCCAGAUUACGUCAAGACAAUAUAAUGCAUGGUCAAGUGAAGUUAAGAGGGCUUGGCAAAGAAAAGUUAUAAAUUAAAAAUUAAAAAAAAAAUUAAAAAUAAAGAGGAAUUUGAUGUAUGGGAAAUGAAAUUUGAGAAUUAGAAUUCCCUUCACACGUUUGAUGUAUCCAUAGUCCAUACUUGAAAAGUCGGGAGAAAAAAUGUAAUGUGUUAGAGAAUGGAUGAGAAAACCAACGGAUUUGCUUUUCCCAAUCUUUUUCAUCAUUUAGUACGAACUUUUAGUGUUUAUUUAAAAAACAAAAAGACUAAUGAAAAUGGAUCGGCAAUUUUUUUCUUUAACCAAAAACACGUAAUGAAUUUUUAUUAAGAGUAAACUGCCGAUUUGCCCCCUGAACUAUCACCCAACUUUCAAUUUGCCCCCUGAACUUUUUAAUUAGAAAAUUAAGGACUUAAACUAAUUUUUUUGGCCGAUUUCCCCCCUACCGUUAGUUUUUCAUAAAUUUCAUCCAAAUUAACGUUAAAUCUUAUCAUGUGCAAACCAUAUAACUCUCAUUUGUGGACAAAAGCGUCAUUUCACUAGACCUUCAAACAGAAAAGCUAUAGAAUCACACAUAUUUGCAUAGGUUUAUAUUUUAGAAAUCUAAGGUUUUCAAUUAUUUUAAAGAAUGAAGUGACCGAACUACCCACACAUGUUGUGCAUAUGCUUCCAUUUAACAGAAAUUUGGAUGCAAUAAAUGAGAAAUUAACAGCAGGGGGCAAAUUGGCCAAAAAAAUUAGUUUAAGUCCUUAAUUUUCCAAUUAAAAAGUUCAGGGGGCAAAUCGAAAGUUGGGUGAUAGUUCAGGGGGCAAAUCGGCAGUUUAAGUCUUUUUAUUAAUGAUAAGAACAAAAAAUAUGUCCCUGAUCUAGAUAUACGUCCAGAAUCAACACGUGACGUCAAGAUGGUAGUGGCGUGAUAGUAUAUCAAAAUCAUACUAGACCCAGUAUUUCAAUAAAAUACAUAAACCAAGUUCCUAAUAAAUAAUGCCCUAGGCUCGCAAUGUGAAGUACUGAAAUAAAAGAUAAAUAAAGACAAGGGACCUAGUCACUCUAGAUGCUCAACCCCAACACAACUACCCUUGAAAUCUCACGUAUCUAAUGAUACAUGUCAACCUGCAAAAGCGGUACUACACCAUGGGAAUGCUGCAUCGGGCAAAUGUCACUAGUCUUAACACACAGAAAUGAAAAGAUAGAAGAAAUGCGAAAAGUCAAAGAAGAGAGAAAGAAAACUUUGUUAUUACAACAAUAGCAGUUUCAUUACAUUGGAAAAUGACUUAGCUCACUAUAUAUAGUGACUAGAAUACUUGGCCACCAAGGAUACUUGUAACUAACUAUAACAAUCAAGACUAUAAGGGGGCGUUUGUUUGCCCUCAUUAAGUGGGACUGGACUGGAGUGGACUAGCUGUUAGUCCAAUAUUGUGUUUGUUCCAUGCUGGGACUAACAUUAAUGAGACUAAAGGGGACUAGCAUGGACAAAACCCUUCACUAAGAGGUCUUAGUGAGACCCCCAAUAACCAUGGGACUAGCUAAGACUAUCCUCUCUCGUCCUCGUCAUGCUCAACAACCACUCCUGAUAGACUCUUCGUCAUCUCCGGUCACCUAGAUCAUAAUAAAAUAUUAAUAAUUUAUAUAUUAAAUAAUAUAAUAUUAGAAUUUGUUAUUAUCCAGCUUCUUAGUCCAACACUGCACCAAACGCUUCACUAAGUUAGUCCAGCUUAGUCUAGUCUAAGCCAGUCCAGCUUAGUCCUUGAAGCUAGUCCAGUGCGAGAUAGUCCGGCCCAACAAACGCCCCCUAAGAUCAUUACACAUGUCAUAGCAGAGAUUAUGCCACUUGGCAUUCUUAUGGUUAAUAACUAGUAAGGGAAUCCUUGAAAUAUGACUCCGCCUUUAAUCAAAUAGUUUCAGCUAAGUCCAACGAAUGUGCCUGUGGCAAGUCGAUUUCACCCAAAAAGUUUGGGUACUCAUAUAAGUUCCAAAGCUCGUGUGAGUAGUAAGUAGACAAACUAUGGACUCACAAUAUAAACUAGGGUUUACUAAAUAGGCUAUGUUAUACAUCCAUAAGUACCAAUGCUCAUCGUCUAUUUCCUACCACAAGCUUCCUAGCCAUGAUAACACAACCUCAAUCGUGUUUCUAGUCAGUCGCACAUGUCAUCUCAAAUUCUCCUAGAUCACUAAUCAUCCAUGUCAUGCAUAAAGCAAAACUGUAGAUCCAGGAUGGCAUAAUUGGGCCCAAGCCCACAUUUCAUAUGAUUCCAAAAACCCUCAUGGAGCUAUCUAGCAAAAAAAUAUAGAGUUCUAGAACUACUCUUUAAAACUCGACAAGCCUGAAUCAUUGGUAUCACAACUACUCAACGGAACCAACUAGGAAUAGGAUUCCAGACUAAUUCAAUGGAAUUGUAACAACCCGUCCUAAUUUUACCAUUUUAUUAAUUUUAAAAUAGUGAAUUGACGAAAAUGCCCUAGAAGCGAGUGGGUUAACUUCCAUUGACCGUCGUAUAGCGACAUAUAUGAUCCAUUCUUUUAGCAUAUAUGUGUAGCUUUACAUCCAUUCUUUGUUGGAAGUAUGCCCACAAAGCCACUCAUUUGAUGUAAUAGCUUUUGGAAUACUUAUUGUAUUAAACUUUUAUAUGUUUAAUGAAGGGCAAAGCUUAUUGUUAAUCAUUAUUUAUUGUAUCUUGUGUUUAAGCAAUAAGGGAAUUCAAGGAAUGUAUUUGAUCUAAGAGAUAAGUGAUUUAAGUAAGUUAGAUUAACGAGACCUUUCUCUUAUGUUCAUUCCUAAAACGUUUCUAGCCAUAGGAUUGCCAAUUGGGCAUUGACAAUCCGCUAAGGUUAGUAUGUGUUAUGUCGACUCAAGCGCGAGUAUGACAAGUCUCAAUUCAUUUAGUGUUGGACACUAAGGCAAACAUAUAGGUGCUCGAAAGAGUGAUCGAGUACACUGAACAACGAUCAAAAGAGAGUUCGAACAUACAUGUCAUGUAAGAACUCGAGAGUUGCAAUAUGCAAAGUAGUCCUUUGACCUGAGGCAUAAUAAAUGUCUAAUGGUUAGGUCCUUGAUCUUUGAUCAUGUUAAAGGCAUUCCAUUGGAAUGUCCACGACAUUGUUGGGGUCAAGCUAUCUAGUCGUGUAGGCAUAUGAAUGCACAACAAGGGAUCUCUAACCUUCCAUGGUGGAAGGAGAAUACUCUAAGAUAUGAUUCGAAAGUCUUUGGCCAAAGCAUAUGAAUAUGACUUAGGAAGUUUGUUCCAAAUCAUAUUCAAUUGAAUCAUAUAGAUAAGUAUCACAUUGGAUAGUAGACAUGAAACAAACUAUCACUCAAACAAUGUGAUUAAGAGUAUUGUAUUAGAGAAUGAACGUAUUGCAUUGUAGUUGUAACUGGAUAGGUUCUCCAACCACUUCUACUUAGCUUGGGUAACCAUGAUAUGCUGCUAGGUGUCACUCAUGGUUUGUGGAAGCCCUAAAGAUUAGCAAACACUAAUUUUAAGGGAGAAUUGAAAUGUGGUUUCAAUUCGCAAUCGAUCGUUAAAAGUAACAAUCGCCCACUACCUUGCUAAAUGGAACCUAAUGGAUCGUACACCGAAUAAGGAUGUUGGUGAAGAAAUUAAAUGAAAUGGAUGAGCAAUUAAAUGGUUUAAUUGAAGAAUGGUCAAGAUUAAUUAAUUAGUUAAUUAAUUAUACGAAAUGUUCGUAUUGGGCUUAUAUGUUGGUUUUAGGUUUCGGGGCCCAAAAGCGUUUUGGUCCACAAGGCCCAUUAUGUUUAAGUUGUAUGACAACUAAAACAAAAUGGGCAAAUUAGCCCAAUAACAAGGUAAGGCCGGCCAUAGGGUGAGGGGUUGCAAAUUUGGAUUAAUUACAAGUUUGCCACUCACAUGUGAUGAAGUAUAAAUUCAACUUUAUAGCUUUAUUUCAUUUAGGGUUUUUCUUGGUGAAAUGAGGUGAAACACUUUCUCUCAUUUUCUCUAAAGAGGCCGGCCACUUAGAGGAGUUUUAGCUAGCAAUCUAUUCUUCUCUAAGUCAUCCAUUUCAUCUUCACAAUCACAUCCUUGGUGAAGAGACUUAGAGACAUCAAACUUUUGGUGUUUUGGAGAACAAAUCCUCAAAUCCUCAAAUAAGCAAAUGAGCACUAAAAGGAGGAAAAUCACAAGGAAGAUCCAAGGAGCAAGGAGGUGACUUGAAGGCCCUCCACUUGGGUGAAUCCCUUGUGUAAACAAGGAUGAGCUUCAAGGGUAAAGAAACUCUAAAUCUUACCUUCUCUUUAAAUGUUGUUAAAGAGUUUAUUGGUUCACCAUAUACUAGGCUUUGAAAGUCAUGGGUUUUAUGAAUUGUUUUUGAAUGCAUGCCUACUUUAAAGUGUUAAUAGUUUGCAUAUGUAUUCAAAUGUUCUUACUUGUUCUGAGCUAGGACAAAUUUUUCCUUCAAGUGGUAUCAGAGCCUAGGCCUAGUUUAUGGUGAAUCCUUUUGGGUUUUGUGAUUUUCAUGAUUUGUGAUUUAAAUGUUGUAAAUGUUACAAGCUUUGUUCUUGAUUUUGAAUAUAAAUUUUGCUAGAAACUUUAGCAUCUCAAAUGUUGUAGAUGUAUUUCAUUUAAGCAUGAAUAUUGGAACUAAAAUUUGGUGCCAUGUAUGUUGGGAAAUUCGGCCAAAUCCAAAGGGUGAUUUUUUGGGUUCAUGUUUGUCUUGUUAAAAUGGUAUUAAAGUGACUUUUGGAACCCCUAAGUACCCUAGGAUAUUAGCCCUCUUUUGAGUGGUGAAAAUUUGAGUUUUGGUGAGUGAAAACAUUCAUGGAGCUAUUAUGAGUUUUCAUGAGUGUUCUUCAAUGUUCUUGAAGUUCUUGCCAAGAACAAAAAGUUUUGAAGUUUUGAUUCAAAAUAUUUAUGUUUUUCAUAAAGUUUUGGUUUAUUAUUUGAUGGGUGAUGGUUAUUGGUGAGAAGUGAUUAAAUGGCUUUAAUGUUUGUCAUAGACUUUAAGUUUUCUUAUCUACCCAUCCAAAUCACCUUUACCUCACCCACCAAAAUCAACUUGCAAAUCUUUUUCAAAAAUUUCAAUUGUUCACUCCUUGGCCGGCCACCCUAACAAGUGGGGUACUUUUUGGGCCUUUUAUGCAAUUACAUAAAGUUUUGAUACUUUUAUGUAUUUGCACUUUGGCCUAAAAGUUUACGUUUUUACGUUAGGGCCCAAAAACUCUCAAGGACAAAUUGUUUUGAUCCUUUAAUGAUGUUUUUACAUUAUUAAAAUUUUGGGUUCUAGUUGAAAUUACAUGAAGUUAUGGACUUUUGUGUUUUUCAAAGUGACCCCAAAAGUUUGUGUUUUUGCAUUGUGGCCCAAUUGUUGUGGUCAUAGUUUCCUUUUGGCCCAAAUAAAAUGAGAACAAAAUGGUUUUGUCUCUUUAAUGAGAAUUGGAUUUUCAUUUCAUUUAGUUCCAUUUAAAUCAAUUCUAUGGAUCCAAAAACCAAUUGUUUAAAGUUGUUUUCUUAGUUAAUGUGAUUGAUUAAGAAAAUGGUGAUUAUGAACCAAAGGCCUCGAUAAUUGAGCUAUGUGAUUGGCCACUUUACAUUAUGAAUGUUUGGGUUAAGUAGUGUAGAAUUGAAUGUAAUUUAAUUAAUUCAAUUUGUUGUAAAUGGACAUAAGUCCAUCAUUUGUGUUGUAAAAGGGCAUAAGCCCUUCUUAUUAUUUCAUGUAUUCCUAUUUGUUUAAUUGUAUGCAAAUUGGAAUAGUUGGGUCAAACGCCCAAUAGGAAAUAACGGUUUAAUUGGAUUAAACGCGUAACUAAAAUCAACAACUAUCUACCUUAAACCCAAGGUCCAACACAAGGCUCGUGUUGGAUCAAAUCAAACGGUUCAUAAUCAUCCUAAAACCUAAUAUGACUUUAUAGUCCAUAUGAGGAUGCAAUGCGUUCGUUAGUAGUUCCAUAUAGUCUUGCUUGUUUCAACGAAACAGUGGGAGUAUUAUAUGCUACUAAUUCAUAUUAACUUGGACCAAUAGUUGUGAUAGGCCCAAGUUCUUUUAAUAAGAUUAAAAUGAUUUUGAUGUAGCCCAAACUACUCCCUCAACAAACGAAUAUUAAGUUGAUAAGCGAGAGAUGUUUUGAACAUCUCUUCGUAGGCCUUCCACCGUGGUGGGCUCCAAUCGUUUGUGACUCAUGCACCUGCUUCACCCUAUCAUGGGGGAGUUCAAAGUAUGUGCUUACAUCCAGGAGGAGUCCAUAAACAUAUGAUGAGGUGAGUGUAGGCAACGAGGAUAGCCGACAUCGUAUCAUCGUGAGGCUAUUCUUGAACCCCUUCACAAACUAAGCAUGGUGGGAAUAACUUAACUAAGUGCAAUGGAGCCGACAUCGUAUCAUCAUGAGGCAACAUUCUCUAAAGGCCAAACGGAUGGGUAAUUACAAAAGUUGUAAAUGAAUAAAGCGUUAUUCUCUCAUCAUUAUUUUUGCUAACCAACAUCGUAUCAUCGUGAGGUGGGCUUGGUAAUGGUGAGUCUUCCAUACCCCGCUUAGAGUUCAAAAUAACUCUCGAAUUCCAUUGAGGGAUGUGGAAUUUGCCAAAAAUAGUGGGUGGUACUAUUUGAUUUAAGACCCAAUCAAGUAGUUUUAAAACAAACAAUCUAAUACGAUUUCUGUUAUGUUAUGUAGUUAACGACAUGCCUAAAAUAAUACCCACCAUUAUACUUGACAAAAGGGGCCUUAAGGGCCAACGUUUCCUUGCUUGGUAUUGCCACAUUGAGAAUGUCUCAAAGGUGAAAGACAUAUUGUAUGUGCUUAAGCAAUCCCCUUCUCAUGUACCUCCUACGAAACUAGCUUCAAAAGAGGAGUGUCAAAAUUAUGUUAGACACUAUGAGGAUGACUUACAAGCCAAAUGCUUAAUCCUCACUUCACUUGGUGAGGAGCUUAUGAAGCUACAUAAGCACAUGGACACUUCUUGUGCCAUGGUUGAAAGUUUGCAUAAGAUGCAUGACAAUGAGACUAGUAAUGUACGAUUCUCAAAUGUUUGUAGUCUAAUGAAUGCCAAAAUGGCAAAGGGGACAUCGGUCCAUAAAUGGACAAAAGAUGGAAAGGAUCUUUCAAGAUCUUCAAAGUUUAGGAACUUCCAUCGAUGGGAAAAUGGCCCAAGACUUUUUCCUUGCAUCUCUCUCGGAUGAUUUCACUAAGUUUAUUGUAAACUAUAAAGUGAAUAGAUUUGAUCAUUCUUUAAACGAGAUGAUUGACAUGUGCUGUAAACUUGAAAAAGGUUUCAAAAUGGACAGUGGGAGUGAGAAUGCAAACACAAGGAAAAGGUUGCAUAAGAAGAAGGCAAAGAAAUCCAAAGGAACAUGCUUUCAUUGUGGAAAGGAUGAACGUUGGAAGAAGAAAUACAGGGUGCGCAUUGCGAGCCUUAUGACACGAACUUUUGAAGAGACUAUUUCUAUCAUAGAGAGUUCUUUUACAGUGAGCUCCAAUUCCUGGAUAUUUGAUUCAGGCGUUAGUCAACAUAUCUAUAAUACGAUGCAGGGACUAGCGGGGAGCAAAUCACUACGCAAUGGGGAUAUGGUUGUGCGAGUUGGGAACGUCACUAAAAUCUCUGCAAAAGCAAUAGGCACCUACAUGCUUAACCUACCCUCUAGGGAAGUCCUGGAACUUAAAAAUUGUUUAUAUUUUCCUUCAUGUAUAAAGAAUUUGAUUUCCAUCUCUAAGCUUUUACGAGAUGGGCACUCAGUAUUGUUUGACAAAAUGAGUUGCACUUUAUACUUGAACGGUCGUAUUAUCUCUCAUGGUAAUAUGAUAGAGGGACUUUUUCACCUAGAGACGAAUGGUGGGAUGCAUUGUAUUGCAGGCGGGAAUACCUCAAAACCCAAAAGGGCUAGAGAAGAAGUUAACCAAGAAAAGAUGUGGCAUCUUAAACUUGGACAUGUGAACCUUGAUAAGAUUCACAAGAUGUCGAAAGACGGAUAUAUCCGCCCAUUAGGUAAUGACCAGAUGGGUACUUGUGAAUGUUGCUUGAAAGGGAGGAUGACCAAAUCUCCAUUUACUGGAAAAGGAAAGCGUGCCACUGAAAUUCUAGGGUUAAUCCACACUGACGUAUGUGGACCUAUGUCUACUACGUCGAAAGGAGGCUUCUCCUACUAUAUCACAUUCACCGACGAUCACUCUCGGUUUGGCUAUGUGUAUCUUAUGAAGUACAAGUCAGAAUCCUUUGAAAGGUUCAAGGAAUUCAAGAAUGAAGUUGAGAAGCAAACUGGGAAACAGAUAAAGAUCCUAAGAUCGGAUCGAGGGGGUGAAUAUCUGAGUAAUGAGUUCCUAGAUUAUCUCAAAGAGUGUGGAAUAAUAUCACAGUGGACUCCACCGGGAACUCCACAACUUAAUGGAGUCUCUGAAAGGAGAAAUCGAACCUUGAUGAAUAUGGUUCGUUCUAUGAUGAGCUCCGCCGAUCUACCAGUAACAUUUUGGGGAUACGCUCUAUAUACAGCAGCUUACUUGCUUAAUAGAGUACCUUCAAAAUCAGUUUCACAAACGCCCUAUGAGAUAUGACAUGGAAGAAAGCCAAGUCUUAAUCACAUUAAGAUUUGGGGUUGUGAAGCAUAUGUCAAGAAGCUUGAAGCUACUAAGCUUGAAGCGAGAUCAGUAAGGUGCUAUUUUGUGGGAUAUCCUAGAGAAACUAUGGGAUAUGAGUUCUACCAUCCUGACGACCAGAAAGUCUUUGUCGCCAGAACUGCUAAGUUUCUAGAGGACGAAUUUGUUCUCAAAGGAAUUAUAAGCAAAGAGAUGGAAAUUAAUGAGAUUAAUGAUGAACCACAAACAAGCACUCGACAAGUUGACAACCCUGCUUUUGAACCCCUAGCUCCACGUAGAUCUGAACGGGUUAGUAAGCCACCUAAGAGGUAUGGCUUAGACAAUAACUUUGUAGAAUUGCACCUUCUAGGUGACAAUGACACAAAGGAGGACCCUAGGGACUACACUGAAGCAAUGUCCGACAUUGAUUCAAAGAGAUGGCAAGAGGCCAUGAAAUCCGAGAUGGAUUCCAUGUAUCAAAAUCAGGUCUGGACUCUUGUAGACCCUCCAGAAGGUAUAGUACCUGUUGGAAACAAAUGGGUCUUUAAGAGGAAGAUAGGCGUUGAUGGGAACGUGGAGACUUAUAAGGCUAGACUCGUAGCCUAGGGUUACAGGCAAAUAGAAGGGAUUGACUAUGAAGAAACCUUUUCUCCUGUAGCCAUGAUUAAGUCCAUUCGGAUUUUGCUUGCUAUAGCUGCAUACCAUGAUUAUGAGAUCUGGCAAAUGGACGUGAAGACGGCCUUUCUGAACGGCUACCUAGAGGAAGAGCUCUAUAUGACUCAACCCGAAGGUUUCGUGUCCAAGUCUGAAAAGACUAAGGUAUGCAAGCUUCAAAGGUCCAUUUAUGGACUUAAGCAAGCCUCCAGGAGCUGGAACAUUCGUUUCGAUACUAAAAUCAAAACGUUUGGUUUUACUCAAAACGAAUACGACAAUUGUGUUUAUCAAAAAGUCGUUGGGGAUGCAGUAGUAUUCCUAGUGUUAUAUGUAGAUGACAUAUUACUAUUCGGGAAUGACACUGCAGUACUUUCUUCUGUAAAAGUGUGGUUGUCCAAAACCUUCCACAUGAAAGAUUUGGGAGAUGCAUCUUAUGUACUUGGGAUAAAGCUCUAUCGUGAUAGAUCCAAUAAAUUAAUUGGAUUAUCCCAAUCUAUGUACAUAGAUAAGGUGCUAAGUAGGUUCCAAAUGGAACAAUCUAAGAAAGGUCUUCUUCCUGUAAGACAUGGAAUUCACCUUUCUAAGUCCAUGGGACCUAAAACUUCUGAAGAGAUACGGCAGAUGAGUGCUAUUCCUUAUGCCUCCGCCAUAGGAAGUCUCAUGUAUGCCAUGAUAUGCACAAGGCCUGAUAUCGCAUAUGUUGUGAGCAUUACUAGUCGAUAUCAAUCUAACCCAGGAUCAGAACACUCGACAGCUGUCAAGACCAUCCUUAAGUACUUAAGAAGAACUAAGGACAUGUUCCUCGUUUAUGGAGGAGCAACAGAGUUGCGAGUGGAAGCCUAUACAGACGUAGAUUUCCAAUCUGAUGUCGAUGAUAGAAGUUCCAACUCCGGAUAUGUAUUCACUCUGAAUGGUGGGGCUGUUAGCUGGAAAAGCAAGAAACAAAGUGUAAUUGCUGAUUCCACGACAGAGGUAAAAUAUGUCGCUGUAGCUGAAGCCGGCAAAGAAGCGUUCUGGAUGAAGAAGUUCAUUACUGAACUUGGAGUGGUUCCAACCAUUACAUCACCAGUAACUUUGUACUGUGAUAAUAGUGGGGCGAUAGCUCAAGCCAAGGAACCCAGGGCUCAUCAAAAGAACAAGCAUUUUGACAGGCGCUUUAAUAUCAUUAGAAGAUAUGCUGCCGAGGAGAAAGUCAACAUCCUCAAAGCUGCCUCAGCCGAUAACGUAGCAGAUCCACUGACAAAGCCAAUGUCUCAAAUCCAACUUGACCGUCAUAUGGAAAGGAUGGGUAUUAGAUACAUGGGAAUGUGGCUUUGAGUGCAAGUGGGAGAUUGUUGGAAGUAUGCCCACAAAGCCACUCAUUUGAUGUAAUAGCUUUUGGAAUACUUAUUGUAUUAAACUUUUAUAUGUUUAAUGAAGGGCAAAGCUUAUUGUUAAUCACUAUUUAUUGUAUCUUGUGUUUAAGCAAUAAGGGAAUCCAAGGAAUGUAUUUGAUCUAAGAGAUAAGUGAUUUAAGUAAGUUAGAUUAACGAGACCUUUCUCUUAUGUUCAUUCCUAAAAUGUUCCUAGCCAUAGGAUUGCCAAUUGGGCAUUGACAAUCCGCUAAGGUUAGUAUGUGUUAUGUCGACUCAAGCGCGAGUAUGACAAGUCUCAAUUCAUUUAGUGUUGGACACUAAGGCAAACACAUAGGUGCUCGAAAGAGUGAUCGAGUACACUGAACAACGAUCAAAAGAGAGUUCGAACAUACAUGUCAUGUAAGAACUCGAGAGUUGCAAUAUGCAAAGUAGUCCUUUGACCUGAGGCAUCAUAAAUGUCUAAUGGUUAGGUCCUUGAUCUUUAAUCAUGUUAAAGGCAUUCCAUUGGAAUGUCCACGGCAUUGUUGGGGUCAAGCUAUCUAGUCGUGUAGGCAUAUGAAUGCACAACAAGGGAUCUCUAACCUUCCAUGGUGGAAGGAGAAUACUCUAAGAUAUGAUUCGAAAGUCUUUGGCCAAAGCAUAUGAAUAUGACUUAGGAAGUUUGUUCCAAAUCAUAUUCAAUUGAAUCAUAUAGAUAAGUAUCACAUUGGAUAGUAGACAUGAAACAAACUAUCACUCAAACAAUGUGAUUAAGAGUAUUGUAUUAGAGAAUGACCGUAUUGCAUUGUAGUUGUAACUGGAUAGGUUCUCCAACCACUUCUACUUAGCUUGGGUAACCAUGAUAUGCUUCUAGGUGUCACUCAUGGUUUGUGGAAGCCUUAAAGAUUAGCAAACACUAAUUUUAAGGGAAAAUUGAAAUGUGGUUUCAAUUCGCAAUCGAUCGUUAAGAGUAACAAUCGCCCACUACCUUGCUAAAUGGAACCUAAUGGAUCGUACACCGAAUAAGGAUGUUGGUGAAGAAAUUAAAUGAAAUGGAUAAGCAAUUAAAUGGUUUAAUUGAAGAAUGGUCAAGAUUAAUUAAUUAGUUAAUUAAUUAUACGAAAUGUUCGUAUUGGGCUUAUAUGUUGGUUUUAGGUUUCGGGGCCCAAAAGCGUUUUGGUCCACAAGGCCCAUUAUGUUUAAGUUGUAUGACAACUAAAACAAAAUGGGCAAAUUAGCCCAAUAACAAGGUAAGGCCGGCCAUAGGGUGAGGGGUUGCAAAUUUGGAUUAAUUACAAGUUUGCCACUCACAUGUGAUAAAGUAUAAAUUCAACUUUAUAGCUUUAUUUUCAUUUAGGGUUUUUCUUGGUGAAAUGAGGUGAAACACUUUCUCUCAUUUUCUCUAAAGAGGCCGGCCACUUAGAGGAGUUUUAGCUAGCAAUCUAUUCUUCUCUAAGUCAUCCAUUUCAUCUUCACAAUCACAUCCUUGGUGAAGAGACUUAGAGACAUCAAACUUUUGGUGUUUUAGAGAACAAAUCCUCAAAUCCUCAAAUAAGCAAAGGAGCACUAAAAGGAGGAAAAUCACAAGGAAGAUCCAAGGAGCAAGGAGGUGACUUGAAGGCCCUCCACUUGGGUGAAUCCCUUGUGUAAACAAGGAUGAGCUUCAAGGGUAAAGAAACUCUAAAUCUUACCUUCUCCUUAAAUGUUGUUAAAGAGUUUAUUGGUUCACCAUAUACUAGGCUUUGAAAGUCAUGGGUUUUAUGAAUUGUUUUUUAAUGCAUGCCUACUUUAAAGUGUUAAUAGUUUGCAUAUGUAUUCAAAUGUUCUUACUUGUUCUUAGCUAGGACAAAUUUUUUCCUUCACUCAACCCAACAUUCCCGCAGGCAGGAUGCCUGUAUGCCCAACAUUCCAGCAGCCCAUGAGGCCCGCGACCUCCUCAUUUCUCUCAAUCGCCGACCUAGCCCAAGUCAGGUCCAAGAGCCCAAAGGGCAUGAGCCAUGUGGCUCGCCUAGCACUGUGCCCAUGAGCCUCAAUCUACGGCCCCAGCCGCACAAGUUGCCCUUGGUUCUAGCCAAGCCAAGCAACCCAAGCAGUGGUCCCUUCCACAACACCUCGUCGGCCUAUGUCGAGCGACUCCUGGCCCUUGUCAGCCGACAUGCCACACCUCCCCAACGGUUGCCCCGUGACAGCAUUAUCUAAGAAAAAAACAAGAAAAAAUAAAUUUUUAUUACCUCGAUGCAAGGCGGAGAAUACGAAGAAAGCAACGAAAGACGGUUCUUUGCACGGGUAAGUGUAGAAGAUUGCUAGGGGAAGGGAACAAAUAUCAUCCAUCUCUCUCUCUCUCUCUCUUGCAGGGUAGAAUAAAUUGCUCUCCAAAGUUGAUUUAAUAACCCACUUAAGUUGUACUUAAAUAGGCUUUAAGAGAAAUUUAUUUCCCUUUCCUAGAAGGAUUUAAUUUCCUAUUAAAGAGGGAAUCUACAUCAAAAUAGGAAGAAAAUCUUUACACUUGUUGCCCCCCAACAGGUGUGGGGGCAUUUGUGGAGCCAAAAAUAAUCAAGAGACGACACGUGGAUUCUAGGGUAAAAAUGACAAAAUUACUUUCGAGGAACACCGGAAUUCUUACGCGCGAGUAGUGGACAAUAAUCUCACAAUUAAGUCAAAAGUUCCCACAAUAGGUAUUUAUUCAAAACCUAUUUCAUCCAUCCUCAUCAAAUCUUCUCCACAAGGUAACCCCCAAAACAUUCCUUUCAAAUUAUAUUAAUUAGCUAAUUAAUUGAUUUAUUACCUAAUUAAUCUAUUAAUUGGCUAAUUAACUACCAAUUACACCCAAAAAAUGCCACAAAUGGCCGAUUACCAUCUCUCCAAAGGGGGGCAACCAUGCCCUAUAUAUACUACCCCAUUUUCUCUAAAUUCUCCAAACACUUUUCCCUCAAAAUUCUAACUUUGGCAUCGGAAAUUCUUCUGCCAAAGCCCCCUAUUCAUCGUGGGCGCGUAAGUCUCUUGGCCUUGACCAAAGGUGUUAUUUGUUUUGUAGGUGCAAUUUUGUUCAAGAACAAUGAGGAAGAAAUUUGUAUCCAUAAUUACAUUUUGAAAAGGUUCUUUAUUUUUAGGCCCACUAACCCUUGUUUUUCGCCCCUCCAGGUUUUAGUAGCAGAGCUUUCGUAUCGAUGAGGAUUCUUGGCAAAUGUUGGUAUAGGAGUGUACCCUGGACGGUAUAAUUCUUAUCCUACCUUUACUAUAUUGUACUUAUGCUCUGACAUCACGUGUGAGUUAGGUUCACUCCCACUCACAUGCGCACUCUUGCAUUUAGGCACUUUUAGGUUUAAAUUUACUCACAUUUUUUUACAUCACUACACUUUAUAGCUUUUUCACCCUCCGAAUGUCGGCUAGCACAACUCGAUUUGGGGUCCAGGGGGACAUCCUACGUCGGGGUGUGUUAGAAUCAUAGGAUAUAGGGUUCAGACCAACUUAACGAAACCAUGUAAGAAUAGAAUUCCAUACUAGCUUAAUGGACUCCCACUAGGAAGCGGUCACCCAUCACAGAUUUACAAAGGACAAUCACUCUUUACAACCCUAGGUAGGCAAUGAUCACCCAUCAUGGAUAUACCAAGCGUGAUCACUACUAAAAUUAGUGUGGUCCCCAAUGCGAAUUAACCAAGUAGGACUAUAGGCAUAAAUAUAAUAAUGUGGUUCCCAAUGCAAAUUGACCAAGUAAGACUAAAGGCUAGUUUGGUAUUGUAAUGCUUUACAAAAAAAAAUGCUUUUGCUAUGCUAUAAGAAUAAACAGCUGUAAAAUAAAGCAAUUGGGUGUUUGGUAAACUUUUUUUUAUAAAAGUAUUUUCAACAAAAAAAUAGUGCUUGAGUGUUUGGUAAAAGUUUAUAUAAAACUGUUGUGGUUAUAUUAAAUGACUAAAAGGGAUAUGUACUUAAUCUAAUAUAAUUUUGUCCUUGUAACCUUUUUUCUAUAAGUUUUAUUCAUAACUUUUUUUAUUUAUAAUCCUUUUAGAAUUUCUAGAGUCAUUGAUCAUACUCUUUUUUCUUUCCAUCUAACAUCUUCCCCUCUUCAUUGGGUUUUUCUCUCGUUUUCUCUGCCUAACCUUUCCUGUUUCUCACUAGGUUUUGAAGUGUUUUUCAGGGAGAGGGAGAGAGAAAGAAACGAACCUGUAAUUUGAAGGGUUGGGGAUUCUAGAAGAUUGGUUCUACAAGAAGAAGAUAAGGAUCAGAUUAGUCAUUGGGCUUUCCUAAUUUGCAGAAAUAUGAAGAAGCAAAUUUUUUUAUGAGGAUCCAGAUGGGCGAAGCUUUGAAUUUGGGGGCAUAAUCAGAUUUACAAAAGAGCGCAUGAGUAGGUGCAAUCUGGGCAUGUCCACAAUGCAAAAACCGAAUCUAAAUCCUAAUCUGGUCUCCUGGAAAAGAUGGUGGUGUUUUGUCGACAUGGUUUUUUUAGGGUGGGAAUGGGAGAAAACAGACGAGAGAUGGAGGAAGGACGUCCUUCUAGUUGGUAUGAUGUGUAAAUUAUUUAAUUGUUUAAUGUCAUUUUGGGUGCUUGAAAGUUUCAUUGAAGGGCUUAAUUUUGGAUGUUUACUAAACGCAAAAAAGCAAGGAACUUUUUUUAUAACCGUUUUUUUUUUUUUUUUUUAAUUUAAGCAGUAUCAAAGUGGUACUAAUUCUUAUAAAACUAGUUAGUGAUCACCCAUUACGUAUAUUUACGUAUAUAUUAAGCAUGAUCACCUCUAAAAUGCGUAUGGUCCACCUUGUUAUGGAUUAACUAAGCAGGACCAUGGACAUACAUAGUGUGGUCCGCUAAUGCAGAUUAACCAAGCAUGACCAAUUCUAGUGAUACUAGACAAUGGUCACCCGUCAUGGAUAUACUAAGCACGAUCACCCCUAGACUGCAUAUGGUUCCUCAGUACGGAUUAACCAAGCAAAACCAUAAGCAUAUGUAUAAUAAUAUAGUCCCCCAAUACGAAUUAACCAAGCAGGAUCAUUCAUUUACCACAUUGCUAUAUGGUGCAGCCUCUUUAUCAACAUCACAUCAACUAAGCAUGAUCUACAUAGUGGCACACAUACUAUCGAUCCCACAUGACAAUCAAGUAUCUAGUCACACAGAAGUACAAGUUCUACAGAAUAAUUUUGAUAUGGUUACCGACUCAUCCCCUCGUACCAAGAAUGACACAUUAUCAUUACUCUCAACUCUAUCUCUUGCUAGGUAGUAAUGCAUACUUUAAUAGAGCAUUCUUAUCAUUAUAAUCAUUUGAUAAUCUAUGUAGGGACAAUUAACAAACUACUCACCUUGCGUCCAAUGCAAGCGCAAACGUGAAAGCACGUUGACCGUAGCUCAUAUAUCAUUUAAACAUAUCAAAGUAUAUAAACAUUCUUUAGCUUACUAAUUAUUGAAUACAUCUGUUGAGCAACCCAACAAACACAUAAAUCAAGGUAAGGUUCCACUUGCAUGCAACCUGAAGUGAGCAUCACCAAGGAUGGCACGCCGAAUGUAUGCCCACUAGGUUCUAUCGGGUUUCUAAUAAUGGUAACUUCAAUAUCCAAGAAUGAUAGGAACAUGUUAGACCAAAAUUCAACACAUGGUCAAAGUGGCCCCUGCUAAGGUCUAUAAUUGUAAUUAUUUCAAUCUAGAGAUUUCACACAUCGAUUUUUUAUUCGUAAAUUCAUAAGGGCAUCAUAUUACUUACACAACCACAUAUUAUGAUUUCAAAGAGAUCCAACGGUCGGUCUCCUACAACAAAGGUCAUGCGGCGGUCAAUUAUUGAACUAUGUUUUGAUGGUCGAACCUCGUCAAGUAGACAACAAAAAUGAAAUCGAGGCAUGAAAUUUAGUCUAAGAAUACAUGCCAGAUCAUUGGCUACACGCCGUGUACGUGGUGGCCGGCAACCAAAACCUUGUCAGAUUCGGACCAACAACAAAAUGUACUCAAAGUAUACCAAGUUGUAGAUCUUGGAAAGUGGAGUAAGACUUAUACCUCGCUGAAGCUUGAAAAUGGCCGGAGGACAAUGAAAACUGCCUUUGAAGUCACAUAUUCACUGAAAUUUUGUGGUGUCGUCAUGCUGUUGUGGUUGUACCCAGGAGUGAUUGGGACCCAUUGAUCUCCUCCUGUGUUCUUGGGUUAUCAACCAGGAGUGAUUGGGACCCAUUGAUCUCCUCCUGUGUUCUUGGGUUAUCGACUAGUGGUGGUGGUUAACAAGCUUGAGAAUUGUCAAUAGGGGUGGGCAUAAAAACCGAAUCGAACCGUGACAAAAAAAAAAUCGUAAAAAAUAACGUUGACCAAAAAAGUCAAAACCGGAACAAAAACCGAACCAAACCGUUUCAACCGGUUCCGGUUUGGAAAUAUUAAGAACCGGAGGAACCAGACCGACCAACUUUUAAUAUAAAUUAUUGUUUUAUUAUUAUUUUUAUAUAAAUAAGACUUUUUUCCAAGAAGACCAUGUGCAUAAGCCCAAUAUUUUUCUUCACUUCUCUCCCCCUCCUUUGUUUUUUUAUCACUUUUCUCCCUCUACAUUAUUUUUCUCCACUCUUUUCCAGUAUAUUAUGCCUUAUGUACAUUUUAGUUAUAAUUUAAUAUCUACACUUUGGUCUUGUAUGAGCCUUUCUUUCUUUUAAUUUAUAUUUAUAUGCACACUUUCUAUCUUCUGGUCACAAAUCUUGUAGAAAAUUAGAAAAAACAUAUAUAUAAUUUUGGUUAGAACCGUAAACCGGCAUGAAACGAACCGGAACCAUCAUGAAUUGAGCCGUACGAUUUUAGUAAUAAAUUUAAACGAAACCGCACCGAACCGAACAAUUGAAAUUUUCCAGUUCCGUUUCCAUUUUGAAGGUGGAGCCGGGCCGAACCGGACUGUGCCCACCCCUAAUUGUCAAGCUUUGACUUCCACAAAGUUUCUUUUUCCUUGCCUUAUAUCUUUAUUUAUAUUAAACUUGAUGGGCUUCACUUGCCUACAAGUAAUACAAAACCUAUAAAAAUGAUCUUCUAAAUCACAUAUCUACUAGAAUUUAUACAAUCAUGUUACUAAUGAUAAUAACUGCAACAAUUUCAAAAGCUUUCUUAUCACUUACUAGGGGGAAGGAGGGCCAUGUGGUUGUUUAUUUUCUGAAUCCAAUGAGAAGUUGGUCAAAGAAAUUCAGAUUGGGUCAAGCCGAUCCGUGGCCCAACUACAACGUACAUAGCUUGAGGGACUGGACCAACUCAGUUCACCUGCUUUUAGUUAAUCUUAUGCAAAGCUCGCUACAAAAUAUAAAACACAUGACAUGGGGACUCCAACAAAACAGUUGGCUUUCCGUUUUAGAUUUUUGUUUAACCAAAUACAUUCAACAAAAGCUAAUAAUUCCCUUGAGUAGCGAAGAUGAUUUGAAACUAAGCAAAAACAUUUAUUUAUCAUUAAUCUUCAUAAGCACUUAAGUGAAAUGCCCACCUACACAAGCAAAUUAAAACCCUUUGGGUUACUUAAUCAAACGUUAGAGUAUUUACCAUCUAAAUCUUAAUCUAAUUAUACAACCCUAUCUCUAUCUUUGCCAAUGGAGAGCCUAUGCUACGUAAUUGGUUGACAUAUACUGUUGAGUAUGUGACUGUAUCCCCUCGUCAAGUAACCACAACUUAAACAAGUAAAGAAGCAUUGAAGGGAAUGUGAUAUAGAUUGGAAGGAAGUGGACUUAAAGUAACGGACAUAUUUUAGAGAAGUUCAAAUUAAUGGUUUAUUGGCCAAAGAAGCACAAACCCAUGAACAAAUAGAUGCACGCGGAAGGUAAUGCCAGAAAGACUAAAUUUGUAGAUUAAAUUUACAAACUAAAUGAUUUGUCACCAAUUGGAAUAAGUAAGUUUAUCAACGCUUAAGUAAUAAUUGAAUCAUCAACUUCCGUAUGUCAUUUUGUUUCUCAGUAUUGACAACAAGUGCAGUUUUCCGUAUUUUUUAAGCUCUCUUGACUACCCAAUUAAUCUAAUGAUCUUCAGCACACUCCAUAUAUGCUAAUGCCAGCACAUGCAGGUUAAUUAAAAUUAAAAAAAAAAAAAAAAAAACUGCCAUGCAAAGAAUUGACUAAUAUAUAGUUUGGUUUUUUGAGAGUGAUUUUAAUGGAAAAUCGUACUUGGAGAGUAUUAUUUCAACACAUGAUUCAACAUGUUUCAUGAAUUACUAAUUAGAGGAUUCAGAAAAUUUUCAACGGAUAAGCUAACUAAAAAUAUUACCAUAGAAAACAGAGAAAUUAUAGAACAUUUUUAUAUGUUUGGUGAUGGAGAGGAAAAUUCGAUUGAAAAUGUUAUUGGUGUAAACAAGGAUGGUGCAUACUGCACAGCUUAAAGGAAAGGAGAGCUGGCAAGGAGGGGGAUGAAUGAAACUGAUUAGCUUUAACAUGUUUUUAUUGUUGUAGUUUUGAGACCAUGCUUUAUUUUUUAGAGUUGACUGCCACGUUUUUGAGCUUGUGGUUACGUAAUACUUUUAAUAUGCUUUUAUAGAUUUGUUGACUCUCUUAUGUUUCUUAUGUUUUUUUUUUUUGGAAAUUGGCAUGCUCCACUAGCGAUAUAGUUUUUUGCAUCUAUAGAACUUUCACCAAGGAUAAAUAAAUAAAUAAAUAAUUAUAUAUUUUUAACUACACCUCUAUUAAGUAAUAACCUUCUUACAAUAAUUAUAAAAUGGGUUUGGCCUUAAAAUUAUGAGAAUAACACUAAACUAUAAUGUUUGAAGAUAUCAAUCGAACAUAAAACCUCCCAUGUACAAAUGAGGAAAACUAUUACUAGAUUGUAUUGCUAGUGGCAUACCUAAUUUAGAUUGUAUAUUUUGAAAAAAAUAAUCAUAUUCAUUGAUAAUGAAACAUAUGUAUGCAUCGAAAGGAUAGGUACAUAGUAGUUAGCCUCAUUAAAAUCUUUUCAGAGCUUUCAACCCGAUCGAGGAAGAAAGAAUACAUGCACCAAGACCUAAUUUAAAUUGAGAAAAAAGAAUAUCACUAGACCGUAGUGUUGGAGAUGUAGUCAAACAUAAGGUCUUCCAUGUACAAGUUAAGAGAAAUAUCACUAUGUCGUAGUGCUUAUUGGUAUGUUAUUUUUGAAAUAAUUACGGUAUUUAUUGAUGAUGAAACAAAUAUAAUAUAUAUAUAUAUAUACACACACAUAAAAGAUAGGGUGCACAAUAGGUGGCCUUGUCAAAAACUUCAGAGCUUUCAACCCGAUUAAAAGAAAAGGUAUAACAAUUAAGUACCAAGUGCUAAUAUAAAUUUACAAAAGCAAUAAAGUUAUAAUCUAAACCAAAAUCCAAUUUAGGCCCCAAAAUCUAAUUACCUCCUAAAUGUGUAAUGUUAUACUUACGACAUUUUUCCUACUACAUUUAUACCAUCUUUUAAUAGAGGUAUGAUCCACCAACACAUGUGAGUUUUAUUUCUAUUAGAGAGGUGGUACAAAUGUGGUAAGAGUAACAUUUUUAAAACUAAUUAAUAAGAUAAUGAUGAGUAACUAGCUUGACUCAAAUAUGCAAGAUAGUCGCUUCCUGGUUUAGUCUUGUUAAAUAACUAUUAGAGCAACUCCACUUCUAAAAAAUGAGCUGGCCCAAAGUCCAUUUAAUCCACCCAAAUGAAUAGUAAUUGACUACAAUAAAUAGUAAUUAGCCAAGUGCAUCUCCACCCCUAAAUCCAACGAGCCUAGUCCAUUUUAUUAAAAAAUUAUUAAUUUUUUAUUAUAAAAAGUUAUCAUUUUAUUUUUAAUUUCUGACAUUUUCUUUGUUUAUAAAAAAAAAUCAUUAAUUUAUGACAUUUUAUCUAUUUUUUAAUAUUUUAAAAAAAAAAUUUUGGCCGAAAAAUAUGGACCGUUGAUUUGAAAAUCGAACUGUCCAGAUUGUGCCACGUCACUAGCCGUUGUGUUUGAAUUUCAAAAAAUUUUGACCAUUGGAAAUUCAACGGCCCAUAAAACUAGCCGUCGGAAAUCCAACGGCCGAAGAUGCCCCACGUGGCCAUAUCCCACGCCCCUUUAGUGCGCCUGCAGUGCGGGGCUUGCUGUCUGUAUCUUUGUCGGGAACGCACGCCCAUGCGCCUGACGCAAAAAAAAAAAUUUAGCAUCAGCAUGACGCUAGAUAUGCCGAUUCCUCUCUCAAUUUAUUUUGGGCUGGUUUACAAACUGGGGUGAACUUUCGGCCGACCUAUUUUUUGGGGUGGAAUGAGUUUUUGGGUGCCAGCCUAUUUGUUUAGGCUUUGGGCCAACUUCCAAAGGAGGGGUGGACUUGCUCUUAAGAAACUCACAUUCUUAAGGCAAUCUUGUAUUCUUCAUGUAUGCGAUUUCCCUUUUGUUUUGAUUGAAGGUGAUGAUAUGGAGCAUCCAAAGGUACAGGACUAAUUUGAGUGGUCAUGAUUACUUUAACCGUAGAAAACUUCAAAGAUGGUAAAAUCCAGAGGAGUAAUAUCCAGACAGCGUGCUGCUACCGCGGAUCACUGACAAUUGCUCAAAACAUGUGCAUCAACGUCUACAGUGGCGCUUGCUAUGCUUAUCUCUCUGCAACUAACCCAAUUCCUCUAUAAUCCAACCCCUCCAGCCAUUUAUGUACAUGAUAGCUAUCACACAAACUCGUUCAUAAAAAACUAUUCGUUUCUGUUUUCAUUUGUUAAAACAAAACAAUAUAUAUUAAUUAGCAGCUAGCUAGCACAGAUUUGUACAUAAACUUGCUUGUAAAUUCGUUUUUAUUUUGUAGGACAGAAAACCCUGCCACAGCCACCGUUUUUUCUGCAUUUCACAACAGCGAGAAGAUACCCUCUCUCUCUCUCUCUCUCUCUCUCUCUCUCUCUCUCUCUCUCUCUCUCACUUAAACAAUCUUCGACAGUCUUUGAUUAAAAAACAAUUUGUUCUAGGUUUGUUGUCGACAUUGUUCAUGCAUCAACCCUAUUUCUCCAAGCUCUUGUUUUUUUCGCAAACUUUAAAAAAAAAAAAAAAAAACAAUAACAAAACCUUUUUCUAUAAGAGAGGCACCAACAACCAUCUUACUCUUCAUCUCCAUCUCUCCCACUCUAAUACUCAUGAAAUUAAACAGCCCAAAACAACAAAACCCGUAUCUUCGUUUUUGAAAAAACACAACCAUGAUUACUGGCAAGGACAUAUACGAUGUUCUAGCAGCCAUAGUCCCCUUAUACGUGGCUAUGAUCUUAGCCUACGGUUCCGUCCGGUGGUGGAAAAUCUUCACGCCCGACCAAUGCUCCGGCAUAAACCGCUUCGUCGCAGUUUUUGCGGUCCCAUUGCUCUCCUUCCACUUCAUAUCCUCCAACAACCCUUACGCCAUGGACUACCAAUUCAUCCUCGCCGACUCCCUCCAAAAAGUCGUCAUCCUUGUCGCCCUCUUCCUCUGGCAAGCCUUUUCCAAGCGCGGCAACCUAGAGUGGAUGAUCACGCUCUUCUCCCUCUCCACCCUCCCCAACACCCUCGUCAUGGGCAUCCCGCUCUUACGCGCCAUGUACGGCGACUUCUCCGGGACUCUGAUGGUUCAGAUUGUCGUUUUGCAGAGCGUUGUCUGGUACACUCUCAUGCUCUUCAUGUUCGAGUACCGCGGCGCCAAACUGCUCAUCUCCGAGCAGUUCCCGGAGACUGCAGCUUCGAUCACGUCGUUCAGAGUUGACUCUGACGUCGUUUCCCUCAACGGUCGAGAACCACUCCAAACCGACGCGGAAAUCGGGGAUGACGGGAAACUUCACGUGGUGGUGAAAAGAUCGAAUGCGUCAUCGAUGGUUUCAUCCUUUAAGUCACAUGGCUUGAACUCGUUGACUUCAAUGACCCCGCGAGCUUCGAAUCUCACAGGAGUGGAGAUUUACUCUGUCCAGUCCUCCCGAGAGCCGACCCCGCGGGCAUCCAGCUUCAACCAGACAGAUUUUUACGCCAUGUUUAACGCCAGCAAGGCCCCGAGCCCCAAACAUGGAUACGCAAACAGUUUUCAAGGUGGAUUUGGGGACGUUUAUUCGGUGCAAUCGUCAAAAGGGGUGACGCCGAGGACUUCGAAUUUCGACGAAGAGGCAAUGAAGAUGAGUAAUAUGGGUAAUAAGAAAAGGGGGGCGAGGAGCAUGAGUGGUGAGAUCUUCAAUGGUGGUGCUGUCUCUUCCUACCCGCCUCCGAACCCCAUGUUUUCAGGGUCUACGAGUGGUGGGCCGAAGAAGAAAGAUAGUGGUAGCGGCGGCGGCGGCGGCGGCGGCGGUAGUGGUGGGGCAGCGCCUAAUAAGGAGCUUCAUAUGUUUGUCUGGAGUUCAAGUGCAUCGCCAGUUUCCGAAGGGAAUCUUAGACAUGCGGUUAAUCGAGCUGCUUCCACUGACUUUGGGGCGACCGAUCCUUCCAAGGCUGCAGGUCUUCAUCAACAUGAAGGUGCUGCUGCAUCGAAAGGUGAGCAAAUACUUUUACGAUCCCACACCCCAAAUCAUGUUUGUCCAUUUUGUAAAUUGCUGGAAAUUACAUCAGCAGCUUUUGUCAAUUGACACCUUAUCAAUUGGACAAAAAAUUCAUUUUUCUAUAGCAAAUCAAGGAGCUUCAUUGAUUUCCCUUGACAUAGAUCUGGUCUCUUUCCCCAAUCUGGACAGAAUUGUUUGUCAAAAGACGUGACAUGUUAUGAUUUUUGAUAACUGUUUCGUGUUUAUUUUUAGUUUUAGUUUGAUUUUUUUUAAAAUUAAAAACAAUUAUCAAACCAGUUUUCAAUUGAAAACUGACAGAGUUAUUAGAAAUAAAGUAGAGAUUUGUGAAAGAUCAUAUAUUUGAGAAAAUAAAGCAUUGCUACAUCAUUUAGUGAAUAAAAUUUGACGAACGCAUCAGCUAUUAGAAUUUCUUGUUCAAUUUACGGGUUCAUUCUAGAUUGUAAUUUGGUUAAUUUAAAUAUAUUCUUAACUGCAUGUACAGGUAUACACGAAUUAAUUGAGAAUAUGAGUCCUGGGAGGAAAAUGAGUGGAGAUAGGGAGCUUGAGAUAGAAGAAGGAUCGAAUAAGUUUCCACCGAGUGUGUCACCGUACAGUAGUACUAGUUGCCAGAAGAAAGUGGAUAUUGAAGGUGGUGUAGCAAAGAAGCACCAAAUGCCUCCUGCAAGUGUCAUGACUAGGCUUAUUCUCAUCAUGGUCUGGAGGAAGCUCAUUAGAAACCCCAACACUUACUCCAGCCUUCUUGGCGUGGCAUGGUCUCUCAUAUCAUACAAGUACCUCUCUCUCUCUCCAUAUGGUGCUACACGUAUCACAUGAACAAACUCUAUCCAGAGGGGAAAAUUAUUGGGUCUCAUCUUUACGAAAAAUGUGAUAAAAAAUAGUGUAGUAAAUACUUUUAUUGGAAAGCAACAUAUAAUGUAGUUCAAGUGUUUCAUAAGCACUCGUCUUAUACACUUCAAACUUAUUAUUUGAUUUUUUUUACAUUCCUGUCAUCUUUUCUUAAAAAAAAAAAAUUUGUUAGAAAAUAUCAUGUACGUCCUUUCCCUUUAGCCUAGUAACGUUAUCGAAAAUUGAUUCACUAAAAUUAGUUUCUCCAAUUAUUGGCAGGUGGAACAUCAAAAUGCCAACAAUUGUUAGUGGAUCCAUAUCAAUAUUAUCUGAUGCUGGAUUGGGAAUGGCUAUGUUCAGUCUCGGUAUAUAUUUAUCUUCAGUUGAUUUAUUGUAUUGACCUUAUUGUACCAUAUGCAUUUCAAAUGAAUCUUUCUUGUUAACUAAUGAUAGAUCUAUCAAUUAUCACUUACAAUUCCAGGAUUAUUCAUGGCUUUGCAACCGAAGAUCAUAGCUUGUGGAAAAUCUGUUGCAACAUUUUCAAUGGCUGUUAGGUUCCUAACCGGCCCAGCAGUGAUUGCUGCAACUUCUAUUGCUGUCGGUCUUCGUGGAGUUCUGUUGCAUGUUGCAAUAGUUCAGGUUCGCCAACUCAACCUUUCCAACCAUUCCCACAUUUCUAAAAUCUUAUGUUAACAUUUUUUUGUCAAAUAUAUGGAAACCGUUAGUGUGUAAGUGUUUAUACUGAAAUAGCAUAAGAACGAAGUGUAAAACUGAGUUUGAAUGUCAGCCCUUGGAUUACAGUCCAAGUGUGCAGCUAAGAUGUAAUCUUAGGAUAAGUGAUACUUUAUGCCAUGUGUCAUUACCUCAUAGGGUAAAUGAAUGGAGAGUUAGAUUUGAAUGAUGUAAUGAGGGAAUAUUCUCAUUCCCUCUAACGGUUACACGUGCACAGAGUGUAAGUGAAUGAAUAAAGUUGCACAUUUGCUUCAUCUUCAAGCUCUCUCUCUCUCUCUCUCUGAAAUCUCUUUCUCGCAGUUUCCAGUUUCUUAAAUUUCCAGCUCCAUUAAUUGUUGAUUGUAGCUUACAUACAAGAUAACAGUCUGUGUAUACUAAUAUGGUAUCAGGGCCAGGUUCGGGCAUGUGCAAGCUAAAGGCUUGUCACCAGGAAGGACUUGCAAACAAGCUUGGACUCUUAACAUAGAGUCGGUCUGUUCCUGAAAAAUAUUUAAAACAAGUUUGGACUCCAUUGGAGCCGACCUCUGAGUUUCCAUUAUCAAUAUGUGGAUCUCCACGUGUGAACCAUUAAAUGAGGUUACGCGUGAGGGGGAGUGUUAAAUGUCCCACAUCGGUGGAUUUAAAGUAACCCAAUGGGUUUAAAUAAAACUACCCUACUCUAACUAAUACCGAGGCUUUUGUAGUAAAACCUCACACCUAACGGAUUGGAUAGGUGGUAAAGUUAGGGAUAGUAUCAGUGUCGUUAAAGUGGGGGCGGGUCCGGCGAUCAAAAAAUCCAACAUUUGCAUCAUUAUCCAAUCACAAAGGCCUCACAAACCCUAAUACAUAUAUAAUACAAAGCUUAAUUUAACACAACGUAAUUCGAUAUGCAAACUAUAUAUGCCACAAGAUUACGUAUGUAAAUAAAUGCUUAAUUUCAUUUUUCUUUCUGCAGGCUGCUCUUCCUCAAGGCAUAGUUCCUUUUGUAUUUGCCAAGGAAUAUAAUGUCCAUGCAGACAUCCUUAGUACCGCGUAAGUUUAUGUAUUUAUUUAUUUAUUUGAAGAAGAAAACCACAAAUGACAUGAUGAAAAAGGGACAUGAUUUCUAAAUACCCAUUUUUCUUUUUUCUGCACAUUCAUGUUCAUUGUUGUCUUUGAUUCUUCUUUAUUUAUAUAAUCUCAACAUAAAAAAUAAAUAAGAGUUACAAAAGCAUAAUAAAGCUGUGCGGAAGUCACUUUCCAUGAAAAAAGACUCUGACUCGUAUAUUAUGGUGUUGCAAUUAUUGCAGGGUUAUUUUUGGAAUGCUCAUUGCCCUGCCCAUAACAAUACUCUACUAUAUCCUUCUCGGGCUCUAGUUUCUGAGAUAAUCAGGACAGAGGAAAAACACAUACAACUGCACAUCCAACUCAGGCUUAGGUGGAUGGAGAGGAUCAAAAUGUCUUUAACAAAGAAAAUCAUAUGCAUGCCAUUGGAUUCAGUGUUCAACAAAAUACACACCAUCCUCGGCAUGUGACAACUGAGUAGCUUGAUAUGCCGUUUACUUCAAUAAUUAGUUUUUCUCCCUCAUGGUAGUAUUAUAUUAUUUUGGUUAGAUAGAAAUUAAGUAAUAGAAUAGAGCUUAGAAUUAGCCAGAGAAAGGUUAAUUAAUUGUUACUUCUUUCUUUUUAUUCUUGGGGUGCAAAUUUUUGUGUUUAUCAUAUUUGUUACCCCAAUAUCAAUGUAGCUCUUUGCUUAACUUGGACACAAAAAUCAUCCAAUAUAUAACUACGUUCUCUUAUUUUUUGUUUUUUGGGGUUUGAAUCAGUAAAUUGAAGGCACACUGUUUGAAGUUUCUGAGAUAUACCGUUGACUUACUGCUGAGGUUAUUGUUGACUCUAUUCUAUAAUAUAUAUAGUUGGGAAAUAACUUCUAUAGUUUAAUUAAGAAGUUUGUGUUAGGCACAAAAAUUUAAUUAUUUCUAUUCUCGCAAAAGAUAAGAGAACUUUUCAUUUGUUAACAUUACAAAGAGAAUCCUUUUAGGAUCCUAUAUUCAUACAUAUUAUAAUUUCUUCGGCACAAUGGAUGUAAAAUUUUACUAAACCAUAUACAAAAUUGUGUUCAAAUAUGUCCUAGAUUUGCAACCCGUCUUCGAUAUCUAAAGAAGAUGUCAGGUGUCUUUUAUAAUAGUCGAUAUAGGAAUUUGGAUCUCAUUUUUUAUGGUUUGAAUUGAGGUUUUGAAAUCGCCUUCACUAAUAAUCUUGUUUAGUCGCCUCUCAAUUAAUUUCUCCUUGUAGUGCUUGCUUUAAAACCAAAGUUUCAGCGUGCAAACAGAAGAAUAACAUGUAGGAAAGAGCUAGCUUGCAAUACUUUGUUAUGAAUAUGAGUUUUUUCGUAAACAAGUUUAAAUUGUAUCUCUAAAGAAAGGAAAAAAUAUAUAUAACUAUUGUAUAUUUAACGGUAUCUGCAUGAGUAUGGAGUUUCUAUCAUUAUAUACAGAAGGAAAACAAAAUCCUUGAGCAAUAUCCUCUUUACUCAACAAUGUGCAUCACACAAAACUAACACGAUGGAUGAUAAAUCAUGUUAUGCUACGAGAUAUUUUUUCAAGCGCCGAGUGUUAGUAUUAUUUAUUUGUAUGAUGUAUUUUUUCGUGUUCUUCUACUUAUUUUAUGACACGUAAAGUACCAGCUUGAAUAUCAGUCAUUUGAAAAUUUUCUCUUAUAUAUGCUACUUCAUGACUGUGUGUCGAAAAUUGUCUUGCGUAAAAAAAAAAAAAAAAAUCUUUAAUAUUUUGAUUGGACGCAAAGAUGGAGACGUCCUAAUUAAGUCUGAGUUUCCCUACUUUGCAUGUGAAUGUAAUUUGAGUUGAAAAUUAGUCGUUAAUGGUAGAAAAGAAAGGCCUAGUUAGCUUCAAUGCAUAGUUCCAAACAUUGCCUUUUUAAAAAGCAUUGCUUUGUGUAGUUUUAUAUGUUAAGCAUGUGACCGUACAGAUUAAAAGGAGGCCGCUGCUUCGCAGAGUGAAUAAAAUUUAGCUUCACAUUACAUUGUUCUUGUAGGUCAUAUAUAAUGCAUUUGAAGACAAAUUUGAUGGUUUUAUAAAAUUACAGAGGACAAAAGCAUUUCGUCAUAUUAUACAUCCAUGUCUUGAAUUCUGCAUUAUCUUAUUAGACAUACUAAAAUAAUUGAAAAGAUAUGCAGCAUACAUACAUAUAUAUUCACUGCGUUCCAAAACCUUUUAUUAGCACCAAGUAUUGGCUUUUAAUUUAUAGAUUCACCCCUUCCAGUUCAGAUCCACAUAUACGCUAUCAAUCAUUCAAUCCUAAUGUAAAGGGAAUUUUCCCUAUACAAAUGAAUAUCGGUCAUGGGGUAGGAGAGCCCUCAUCAUAACCAUGAUCCAUGUCAAUGUAUUGCUAAGGACAUUUUUUUAAUUUCCAUUCUAAUGAAUCGAAACUGUCUAACUUUAACGUUGCCUUCUAAGAACCAUCCAUUCACAAAAUUAUCUAUAAGCAAGAUCGCACAGUUUAAAUAAUUUUUCAUAAAAAUGGCAUCAUAAAAAUGGCAUCGAAACUGUCUAACUUUAACGUUGCCUUCUAAGAACGUUUCCAUUGCACCGCAAUAUAUAGAUGGACAUGUGUAUAUAAAUUACCAUUAGGUUAGAUCAUGAUCCAAAACCAUGCAUGUGUUGGGUUUCUUGGUAUCACUUCAAAGGUGAUCUUGCCAGCUCUUCUUAAGCAUAAACAAUAACUAUGGGAUUUAGGAUGAGAUUCUAUGGGAAAUUAAUCAAUAAAAUGGAUCUGAAAGCUUUAAGACGUUGGACAACGAAAAGUAUAUAAUUAUUAUUUGUUAUUCAUCUAUGUUAUUAUUGACAUCGUUUGCAUUAUAUAAUCUAAUGCUUCCUCACGUGAUGAAGCAAAGGAGUGUCUUCUAUAAUGUUAAUUAGACUAAAAUUUCAAGUAUAUUAUGCUUAGUGCACAUGAAGGUGUUUUUCUUUUUAAAUCCCUGUCUUCUCCCUGAUACGUGUGCUGCAAUAAACAAAACAGAGUUAACAGCUCCUGUAAACCUUAUUGUGGAUAUCAUGAAUUUUCUUCAGCAAAAGCUGUGGCCCAUGUGAUGCGGAUGUGGAUUGCAUGGCUGAGUUUCUCUGUGUGCGUGCAGAUCAAUCUAGUUGUAGUUAUUAUUGUUUUCUCAAACGAGUUCCAAUUUCCAAGGUUCAAGGCUUCAGCAAAUCAAAUUUCUGGGUUUUCUGAAUUAUAUUUAGAAGUGUGUGCAGUUCAUUUUAUUAUACAACUGGGGUUUAGUCGUUUUUCGACAGUUUUAUUUACAUAGCAGACUAUGUGCUUUUACUAAAAACCAAACAACGCUGUUCUAGACUAUAUUUCGUUCAAUCUCGGUUCUUGAUUGCUUUUGAUAAAUAAAGAGGAUUCAAAUUUGAGAUUGUUUUCAACAUUAAAAGAGAGAUACAACACCAACUAGACUAUUUCAAAGUAACUGCCAACAUUUGCAUCCCCUUGGCAACUUAUAUCAGUGGUCAUUCUUCUUACAAAGUAAAUAGCGGUUCAAUUUUCUAGUUUUGUCUGCAAUUUAACCGGAAUAAGAAAUCAAUACUUCGGACCACACAACCUACAUUGAAUGCGUAGUAACUACAAAUAUAUGUAUAUACAUAUAUAUAUAUAUAUAGGGAAGUGUUAUCGGCACUUCAAAAAUCUCAUUCUACACUCCUCUUAAGUGUAUUUUUAUUUCUAAAUAUAAAUAGUUUGGAGUGUAGAAUAAUCAAUUUUGAGUGUCAAUAACAAUUUCCUAGAUAUAUAUUGCAAAUUUAAAGGAAUGUUGGAACAAGUUAUUAAGUAUGGGUCAUGACUGAAGAUAAACUAAUUAGCAGCAGUUACUCAAAUCUCGAGUUUUUAUGGGUACAGUUUGAAUGCUAAAUAUGAGAAUCCUUAGAAAAUGUUGCACCAACACCAAUAAGAAAGUAGCGUUCUGGUUUCAGUUUCCAAAUAUAAAUAUUUUCAUUGAAAAAUCACAAUUUUUUUUCAUGAGUAAUCAACAUAAGCCUAAUUAUUUCGAUAGUGCAACAAAUAUUUGUCCCAUGUGAGAAGACUGUAACACAUAGCAACUUGUUGAGCAACUUAUAUAGAAUGGGUGCAAUGCAUAUCCUGCCAGUUAUGUGUUGCUCUCCACAUGGCAACGUAUUGUACCCGUGUCAUGAAAAUUGCUCUCUUGAUGGAGCGUGGACAACAAAUAACUAGGAAAAUAUUGAACAAUUGGAAAGAUGAUUUGACUUGUUGCACCAAAACCACAAUCAAAACUUCCCAAAAUCAACGUCUAUUCAAAGUCGACCGGAAACCAGUGAAAUUUAGCAUUCAAACAAUCGAAGACAAACAAGAGAAAAUUUGAGAAUUUUGGUAAGAUGAAUUGAACCCUAAAUGCAUAUCUGCAGUGAGUGAGCGAUCAGGGAUUUUAUUAUUACAACCAUGAAUAACACGGGCAAAGUCACAUUGCUUAGUGUUGAAACUUGAGUGUGCAUUUAUCACGUAAACGGUCCAUUGGGCCUCAAUAAGUUUCCUAGUGCAUUUGGGCCUCUAUAAGGGUUAUUUAGGCCUAAUUGGAGAGAAAUAAUACAUCAACAACAAAGUCUUUUCCCACUAAGUGGGGUCGGCUAUUAAUUGGAGAGAAAUAAAAAGAAAAAUAUAAAUGAAGUUCAAAUUCAAACCUAAGUUGCAUUCUCUAAAAAAAAAAAAAAAAAAAAAAAAAAAUCUAAGUAGGUAUGCACAUUUUGAGAUUUUGAAUAUUUCAUCAUUUCCCCCACUCCCUCAAUAUUUGGUUAAACUGGAAAUUUAGCCCAUCCUACGGUCCUACCCCUAAAGUCAAUUAACUUAUUCCCAUAUGCUCUUGAACACCUUCAAACUUUAUACUUUUUUCAACAUUGAAAGAGAGAUGUGUGGCAAAUUCACAAAAAGUUAUUCUGAGCAUCACAUGUAAAAGUUUACAAACAUUUUUUAGACAUAUAAUAACUUUAAAAAUUAAAUCAUGGUUUCAUCAUUCAUAAUUUAUAUAACAAAUAACAAUACAAGUUACAAUUGUUUGCGACGCGUUUUUAUAUUCUGAAAACACUACAUUAUAACCUCAUUAUCAAUAGAAGAAAAAACAUUGCUCUAAAUAUAAACUAUCAUACUAUCACUCAAUCAUUAAUCUCUCAUUCGGUUAUGCAAUAGACUUUCUUAAUAUUCAUAACGGAAAAUACUAUCUCCUGAAGCAAUAGCCACCUUUAGAACCAAAGCCAAUGCAAUUUGCAAAUAUACAUGAUUAUAUACUUUAUUCCUCUUCUCAGCCCUUUUUUUUUUUUUUUUUUUUUUUUUUUUUUUUUUUGCAAAACUACCAAUUCCUUUUACUUGAGAAAAUUCACUAUUUGAAUGCAUAUCAAGAAUAUAAUGCCCAAGUUGACAUUUAAAAAAUAAUAAUAAUAAUAAUAAGGGCAACUCCUCUUAUCAUGGAGCCAAGUUCCAGAAAACCUUCUUGUUAGAAAUAAGUCAACAAUCUGUGAUUUAUUAUAUAUGAGGAUUGAUGAUUUUCAGUGAUAUGAAUGAUAUGCAGAUGCAUGUAUUUAUAGUGAGCAUAUGUCUGUUUGCAACAAACAUGUUUUUAGGAGGCGACUGUUCAACGUAAAGGGCAUGUUGCUCCAUCUGUUUCUCAAAUACGCUCUCAGACUUCAUCUGAAAAGAUGAGUCUUUUCAUAAAUAAUAAAUAAUUUAAUUAAAUUUGAAAUUAAUUAAAAAUAAUUAAUUAAAGAAUUUAAUUUUCAGAGGCCCCAAGGCCCAGGCCCAUCUUUUUUAUAAUUAAUUAUAUAUUAAUUUAAUUAAUUAUCAAUUAAUUAUUACACCCCAAAGCUAACCCCAAGGGGUGAGCCAAUUUUGUCUCCAAAAGUCCAUCACUCCAAUCACUUUCUAUAAAUGACAAAGCCUUAUAAAGUGAGAAAAUCUUGUGGUGGUGAACAAUGUUGGACAAUGAAAUUCCACUCAAAAUUUCCAACAAUUCUUACUUUUCUAAGAGUGGAUUGAACUAUCAACUCCGGGCUUCGUUCUCCUUUUCUUUAUUAAGCUAUCCACGUAAGUCUCAAUCGGCCGAAAUGAACUAGAGGACUUUGUGAGACCCCAUUCAUUUGCUAUCUAUCUCUCUGAAUCCAUUUCUGCUACGAAGAGGAAUGUUUAGAUCUUUCAAUCUUAUGACGGGUGCUCGGAUUUUCUCAUUUGAAUAGAAAAGGAGUCAAGCUGUUGGAUGACAUGUAUGAAGAGCAACUCCAACCACUAAAGGGACAACAUCUAUGUCAUCCAUGAAGAUUCACCUGAGUUCAAAGGGUAGGUUGACCCCCCCUCCCCUUAAUGGAUCCGCAAGUGAGAGAUACCACUAACGUAACAACUAGUUAGUAAAACUAUAAGGAUUGAUCAUGAGUUGUAUGUAAAUCUAGUUGGAAUGCAAGGGUAUGCGAUCCAACUUUUCAAAGAAAAUAUAAAUACGCAUAUAAAAACCGAAACCCUAAUACAGAAGAGAACAACCCAAGUAAAUUCAACUAAAAUAACUUCAUUUAUGUGCUACUUGUGCCUCCUACAACAAAAAUCUCUUUUACCUAUUAGAAGGUAUUCAUGACUUGAGAACCAGAGUAGAAAUUAAAAAAGAGAUAAACAUGUACGGAAAAUGAGAACCUAGACACUAAAAAGUUGAUGGAUUCUCCAUGCUCCCCUUCUUAAUUAACUAGUCUAGUCUUCAUCUCUUUGGCUUCUUAGCUAGUGUGAGAAACAUAAAAAUAAAAAUUAAUUAACAAAUUAGGAGACUAAUUAAUUAAUUAAUACAACAAAGGGAAAGAGAGAAAGAGGGGCCAGAUAGUGUGUCCUAUGGCCAUGAUGGAAAAUCAUCAUAUUUCCUUUUGUCUUUGAGCAUUUGUGCUAGAAUGUGGCCUUCUAACAAAUCGACCCUGAAACAAAAUAAGAAAACCAAUAUUCAGUCCCUGAAACAAAAAGAGUUUCUAUGAUGGGGAACAAGUACAAGUAAAAUGAGGUUUUGUGUUGUAAACGUGAGCGUAGUGAUAUUAGUUAGAGCGGAAACUCCACAAGUACAAAUUUUUCUUUCCACAAUUCAAAUUAGGCUAAAAUAGAAUAUAUCACUUGUAUUAAAAUAAGCUUCGUUUUAUUCUAUCAAGAUGAUCAAUUUUUUUUCAAUCGAAUUUCUAUUUUUUGUUAAUAAGAUGUUGUUUACGUAGAUCAUUAGUUACUUCUCUAAGUAAGUUUUUACUAACAUGCAUAUUAUCAAAAUAUCCACAAUCAGAAUUUGGAUUAUCGAUAGUAUCAAUUAUACGAAUAAUGUUUUACACAAGUUCUCUUCAACUUUCAAGGGUUUCAUUUCGGUGCAACGUAGCAUGAAAUGCUACGAGUAUUAGAUGAUAUAGAUUCAUGGGACCACAAUAAAAGCAAUAAUUUAAAUCAAUUUAGAUCAUCCAAUGCUCGUAAUAUUACAUGCUGGUAUAAUAGGAUGCUAUGUAUUAUGGAAGAAUUUUCUCAAAUGCGGACAUGGAUUGCUCACAACUUGAACUAACUAAUAAUGAGAGAAAAAGAUAGGGAGGGAAAAACAAAAAAAGGAAACAUAAAUACUAGUCAUGAGAAAUGUGUUGUAAAGCAAAUCAUCACAACCAUCAUUACAUCUUUAUUUAUCUUUUAUUUAUGGGAAUUGUUAUUGGUACUCCAAAAAUCUCAUUCUACACUCCAAACUUUCUAUAUUUGGAAAGAAAAAUACAAUUGUGAGGAGUGUAGAAUGAGAUUUUUGAAGUGCUAAUAACAUUUCCUUUAUUUAUUUCUUAUUUAAUUUGAAACAAAAUUAAUCAAUUCGAGUGUCAAGUCUACUCUAUUUUAGAUAAAUUAGUGUGUAUCUUAUCUUUUGUAGAAAAAAAAAAACGAUGAAGAAUGUUUUAGGAGAACAGAAGUACCUUCAUUCUGGGUCGUUGAUCGGCAUUGACUUUUCUAACUUGGUAUCUGAUCUUCUUAGUGAAGAGGCGAGUACGACGUUUCUCCUUGUAGCGCAAGACGCUAGCCUCCCUCAAUCCUCCGACGUCUGAGAAUAAAUCAAUAUGCGCUAGCCUGGCCUGCCCAAAACAAACCCAUUUAUCAACAAAAUAAUCAUUUAGAGACAAAAUGAGAAGGACACAUCUGUCAUUCUAUCACAUAUUUUGUAUUUUCGCAAAAGAUUAUAGACCCAGAAAAUGACCAAUGCCGCCUUCAAUAAAAUAAUAAAUAUUAUGACUCCAAAAGGAAGAAGAUAAUGAAUUCUAUGAUUUCGACCCCAAAAUGAUACUAUGAAUAAAAAAUGUAAUUAAUCGUAUAUUGAAUAUUAAAGAUAUGCUUUGUUUUAGACUAAUAAAUACUUUGGCACUUACAGCAAAGCAAUCGACUUGGCAAAGUUACAAGUGAUUUUUCCGUCAUUCGAGCCUAAAAUAUUGUUAAGUCAGAGGAAAAAAAAAGCUUAAAAUUUUUAUAAGUUACUAAUUAUAGCUCCUAAUUUUCUAUUUUUAUAUAAGUUAAGAAAUGUAACGGAUGUAAAAAUAUGAUUAGUUACUAAUAUAGCAUUACGUGGGGUGCGUAGAAUAAUUUAACCAACUUUACGACCUAAAUUUUUAAGAGUGAAGAUUUAAGGAACGUCAAAAAUGGUAACCAAAACAAAAAUGGAUUAAUAAAAAACUGAGUUCAUUUUAUAAAGGACCCACUUUAUUAGACUGACAUAAAAAACAGAGGAGCAGAUUUUUUUUUUUUAAGCUCCAGACUUUGAACAGGUAUAAGUUUUCCCGGAAUUCGAUUCCCCGGCAAGAGAUGAGAAACGUACAGCGACAUCAUUCCCCGCCGCAUCAGAUCCCGGCAUUUCCUCCGAAAACGGCGACGCUUUGUCCGACCAGGCAUUCAAAACGUCGUCGUAGUCCAACUUCAGCUUCAGCCCGGGCUCUUCCUCCGCCGGGGGCUUGGGAAUCGGACUCGCCUCCUUCGGCGAUUCCGCUGUGAUUCUCGAUUCCAAGACCGACAGUUUCUCCACCUUCUUCUUCUUCUUCUUCUUGGCUGUGGCCGCUGCCGGAGCCGGGGCGGAAGAUGACAGAGAUUUGUUGAAUCUGGGCGAGAUUUCAAGAACAUCUACGGUGGGAAAACUCCACCAGUUCCCCUCGUCGACGUGCCUCAACGGCCUCACUCCUCCUCUUCUCGACCCGAACUCGAAUUUCCCGCCAAAUCCGAGCCCUAUUGGGUACCCAUAACAGGAAUUCCAAGUCGAAUUCGGUUUUGGAUUCGAAUUCUUCAUUUGCCCACCUCCGCCAUUGUUAGACUCCUCCUCCAAGUCCAUGUUCACACUCAUACUUCCCAUGAUGCUAUCAAUCCCCUCUUCAAUUUCCUCGUCGAGAAUCGACUCCGCAUCGAAAUCUUCCUCUUGGAAAUUAUACCCGUCACUCAACUCCAUGGAAUCGGAAUUGCAAUUCGGUGGGGACUCGAAUUCCCCCGGACUCCGGCACGGCUUCUCGAACGAAUUCAGGGACUUGGGCUCGAAUCGGGAACUGGAUUUUUCCUGGAGUUGGUGGUGGAGCAAAAACCCGGAGUUUUCGGCCUCGAUGACUCUGAACGGCAGGAGCAACUCCGCGGAUUGGUCGAAGAAGGAGUCGUGAGGUUUGGUGAAUUUUCUGGGAUUUGUGAAACUUUUGGAGGAGAAGAUGUUGGGGUACGCUGUAGAGAGCAAUGCGGCGGCUUCAUUGUAUGUUUGGUUGGGCCGUUUUCGGGGGGUACGAGGUUUUCGUGUCGAGAUUGCGAGGCCGGAGUUGCUGGAUUCCGAGAGAGUUGAGGAGGGAGAAGAGGUGGAGGUGAAGGUUGAUGUGGACGGCGAUUUAACUAUGUCAAGCUCGAAGGCAUAGGUUCUUCCGCCGCCGCUUAGGCACGAAGACAUUUUGAUGAUUCCGAGGAACAACAGGCAAAGACAGAGAAUUUAGAAACAAAAAAUUCAGAUUCUUCAGCUGAAGAACACACAAAACAGAGGAGAUGAAGUCAUGGAAUUGUUGAAUUCAAGUUGUUUGGAGGACUAAAAUCUAAAAAGCCAAAAUCUUUACUCAAAAGGUACAAAACCCUAAACCCUAAAAGUAGAGGAAAGAAAAGGUAUUGGGUUUGAAAUGAAAAGUGGGAAAGGGCCAAGCAGCUUUCGUGUGAUUAAAAUAGAAAGAACCACUGAGAAAUGGGUUUUUUCUGGAAUUGCAAAACUGGAGCAAGGGAAUUAAAAUUUGAUGGGACACAUGUUGAAAGGUUUUUCAAAAAAAAACCCCAAUAACUCUUCUAUUUUCUCUUAAAAAACCAGAGUAUCCCAAAACCCUAGAGAGAAAAGAAAACCCAGGUGACUGAAACUAUAUCGAAGGGAAUCAGUAAAUUGGGUAUUGGCUGAUGCAGAAAAAGGAAUUUAUAUAUCCCAGAAAGGAAAGUUAUCCAAUAAAGAAAAUCGAAGACUCUGUAUAUACUGUGAAAAUUCAGCACCAAAAGAGGGGAGAGAGAGAGAGAGAGAGAGAUGGGGAGAGACAGAGGAGGUGGAUUUUUUGCAGAAUAGGUCACGG
rnacentral:lncRNA from 1 species